GCCGCCUGAGUGCAUGCAUGGAGCAGAUAGAGGGCGGCGUCGACAGCAGCGGCGGCGUCAGGAAGGAAACUGAUUGGUGUGGGGACUGGUGGGCGGGCCCAUCUAUCACCGCGCACACGCACGUACGUCCUGCCGGCAGCCGCACACACACACACACAAACACACACACACACACACAUGCACAUAUACACACACACACACGCACACACACACACACACACACACGCACACGCACACGCACACGCACACGCACACGCACACACACACGCACACACAUACACACACACACACAUACACACACACACACACACAGCAGAGGGUCGUGGCACUGGUGCCGCCGCAGCUUCCCCUCGCCCCCUGCGCUGUUAAACAAUAUGCCGUGCCUCCUCUCCCUCUGCCCCUCUCCCCCUUCUCCUGCUCACCCGACAGCAGGUGCCGCUCCAUCCAGCCGUUCAGCCGCUCAGCAAACGUGGCGCCACCACCACCACUCCCUGCACCACCACCACUACCACCGCCGCCGCCGCCGCCACCUGCACCCGCCCCGCGGCCCUCCGCCGCCACCAGCCCGGCGCCAAUGGCUCGCAGCAGCACGCAGUGCUCGGCGGAGGCAGCGCGCGGCGCGCCGCCGGGUGCGGGCGACGCCGCCGGCCCCACCUGCAGCAGCGGGUGCACGUCCCCGCCCCCCAGCGGCAGCACUCGCGCCAGCCGCCCUCCCGAGGCCAGCCGCUGCCACACACCCCGCAGCAGCAGCUGCGGCAGCAGCAGCCAGCCGACGCCGCCGGCAGUAGCAGCAGCAGGGCCGGCAGGGCCGGCGGCGCUGAUGGCGGCGGCGGCGCUGCUGCUGCUGCUGCUGCUGCCGGCAGUAGCAGCGGCGGCGCCGUUGGGCGCACUGAGGAUUGCGGUGGCUUUGACAGUGAUAGCGCCGUCGUCAGUGGACAUGGCGGCAGCGGUGGGGUCGGAAGCCUUGGCGUGUGCGGCGGUGUUGGCAGUGGCAGCGGCGGAGGAGGGCCCGGCAGGCGAGCCGCCACUGGUGCCCUCAUCCUCGGCGCCCUCAGCCGCGACGACGAGGGACCUGCUGGCACACAGCGGAGUAAGGCCACAGCGGAGUGAGGCAACAGCGCGUGUGCAAUAAGACACUCGGCGCGGACUGGACAGCGGGAAGCGCAUACACAGCACCGACGUGUCUUGUGUGUGUGUGUGUGUGUGUGUGUGUGUGUGUGUGUGUGUGCGUGUGUGUGUGUGUGUGUGUGUAUGUGUGUGUGUGUGUGUGUGUGUGUGUGUGUGUGACCACGCCCAUCCACCACAAUACCCCACCCCAAUCUACCCAGCCACCCGCACGCAAACACACGGACACGCAAUCUCCCUGUGUGCCCCCCGACACACAUACCCGCCCCCCCCCCACCCCACACACCGCCAUCCAGCUACCCACCUGCACAGUGUGGCCAGGAAGGCCAGCGCCGGCAGGUGCGCGGCGGGCUUGCGCAGGCACGCCUCCAGCUCCGCCCCGGGGCCAUACCUGCGUGCGUGUGUGUGUGUGUGUGUGUGUGUGUGUGUGUGUGUGUGUGUGUGUGUGUGUGUGUGUGUGUGUGUGCGUGUGUGUGUGUGUGUGUGCGUGUGUGUGUGUGUGGUGAUGAUGUUGUGGGUGUGGCGCGCACGGUGCAGGUUGUCAUGCAACCGUGCAAGACUGCUCGCCGCAAAGUCAGUCAGCGAGCGAGCUACUCCGCUGACACGUGCAACGCCAGGGCUCAGCCUGCAAUCCUAUCUACAAGCAAAUCCGCCGGGCCUCUCCCCGCAAGCCCCACACAGCCCCACAAGUAAGCCCCACAGCACCCGGCUUCUUGGCCCCUCCCCGCCCCUCCCCUCGCCCCAGACCUCCACCCCUCGGCCUCCCCCCUCCCCCCUCGGCCGCCCCCACCUGGCCAUCUGCCGCACACUCAGCAGCGGCCGCACAUGGUGGUGCCGCGGGUGCUCCAGCCGCCUCGUCUCGGCGUCAGCAUACUUGGCCCUGGCCUUGGCAGCGCGCGCCUUCUGCUUCGCUGCCGCCGCCGGCACCCCACGCCGCCCGCCGCCGCUUGCUGACUGCUGUUGCUGCCCCGCCUUGCCCUUCCCCUCUGCGCCGUCCCCGCCCUCGUCACUGCUGCUACUGCCGCCACUGCUGCUGCUGCUGCUGCCGCUGCUACUGCCACCCUCUCCUGCAUCAGCGUCAGCAGCCGUGGGCUGCUGCUGCUGCUUCCGGCGUGUCGUCUUGGCCUUGACGGGUCGGGCGAAACGGCGCAGUAGGGCGGUGAACGUGCCCUGCCCGUCCCGCUCCAGACACUCCAGCAGCUCCUGUGGCGGCGGCAAUGGUGCCAGCAUGAUCAGAUUCUGGGUGCAUGCGCUGCUGCUUGUGUUCGAGGACUGCCAACGUCCUCCCCACUUGCCGCAGCUGCGCACGUGUCUGUCCCCAUGUGUGGCUAUGGCUGUCACCCCGCGCCCCGGCCUGCAUGUCCACUCACACCACGCCACCGUACCCUUGCUCCUCUCCCCCCGCCCCCGAUGAUUGGACAUACCGUAGUUUGUUGGGCUCGGACAUACAGCCCCCCAACCCCACAUUUACCCCCCCACACACACACAAGCACACACCCUCCCAUCCCCACUCCCAAUGUUUCAGCCUUGCAACCCCCCACCUCACACCCCCACCUUCAGCGCCCCGUCCAGUGUGUCCAGGUACCGGGUGUAGGCGGUGGCCAGCCGACCCAGCAGCUCCAACACCUCGCCCGCCAGCGCGGCGGCGGCGGCGCCGCCGCCAGCCACUGGGUCAGAGGCGGCGGAGGCGGCGCCCGGCGCCGCCAGCAGCGGCCGCAGCUGCACGCCGGCAGACAGCGGGUCGAUGCCCAACUGCGGGGUGCAGGGGUGGAAGUGGGUGGGUGGGAGGGUGGGAGGGAAGAGUGACAUAGCUUCAUGCAUCUUACAAUCACACACACAUACAAGAACUGUCGCCUCUGCCUAUGCUCCGCUAGUUUGGCUUGGUAUGGUUUAGUUUGGGCCGGUAUUUCGGACCACCCGCCCACACCUACCUGCUCCGCGCAGGGCGGGAAGUCGCCGCGCCACCCGCGCAGCCGCGCCGCCGCCAUGCGCCGCUGCACGCUGCCCACGAGGUAGUGCGCGGGGCCGGCGGCGGAGGGCGUCACCAGAGCGGUGGCGGCGGCGGAGGCCCAGCCGCGGGUGAGCAGCUUGAGCAGCUCAACCUCGUACUCUGGAGGGGGUUAUAGAGGUGUGUGUGUGUGUGUGAGUGUGGAGGGGAUGGGUUGUAAAUACCAGCCCAAAGUAUAUCACAACCAACAAGAACGAGCUGAGCACAAGCGGAGGUGUUAGUUGCAAGCGAUAAUACUUAUGGGAUGUGGGCCGAGGCGUCGUGGAGCAGCAGGGCGAGGUUGGGGGGAGGGGGGUAUGUGCCCGGGCCCAAAGAAAGUGUCCCAUCAUCAUCAUCAGAAAGGGGGCAGCCGGUACGGAGGGGACCGUGUGGAUGUGAAGUUGAGGGUCGGGGAAGGACGGGGACUGGUUGUAUGAAGGUAGGAGUGGAGGGUGCAAAGCAGGGGGUACGGCAUAUGCGGCGGAGAGGGAGCCUGCAGGACAUCACCAGACAGGGCGGAGGCACACACACACACACACACACACAUAUAUAUAUACGCACGCACACGCACCUAGUAUGAGCUCGAUGUUGGUGUUUCCGAAUAUGGCGGUGAUGGAGUCGCGGGCGAUGACGGGCAGCGACUGGUCGGCGGCCGCCACCAGCGGGCUGAUCACGCCGUCCACCAGCGCCUGAGGCAGCAGACAAGAUGGGGGGGGGGGUUGAGGGCGGGUGGGGGGAUGGUGGGGGGGAGGGAAGGGAGGGGAAGGGAGGUGAGGCAGCAGGCGGCGGCUGGGGCUUGUGAGUAAGUCGGCGAGAGACAUACGCAUGCACACGCACACAUACACACACACACACACACACACACACACACACACACGCGGCGCCCACCUGCAUGUCCACCACGAAGCCCCACACCUCCUCCGCCGCCAGCUUGAGCGCACUGGCUGAGAACACCGCGUCACAGCCGCCCAGCGGUGGCGGCAGGCCGUCACGCAACGCCGCCGCCGCCGCCGUGGCCGCCGCCGCACUGCCGCCGCCCGAGGCGAGCUGGCCGGCCGCGUCCAUACCCACCUGCCGGGGCGUGGGGGAGAGUGGGGGCCGUGGGGGCGUGGGGGGUGAGUGGGGGUGUGGGGGCGCGUGGGGGCAGGCGACAGUGUCGACACAGACACGACAGUGACACGAACACAGACACACCUGCAAUGCCGCGCGCUGCCAUAUGCACACGCCAUACACGUGCCUGUGCAUGUCGUCCCUGACCACAUGCCCCCCCCCCCCACACACACACACGUUGACUGCUCACACGCUGCUGCUAACCACUGCGGCCGAGCCACACCUUCCGCACCACACGGCACCCGGCACUCCCCCCUCCCGCCCCCCACACGCGAGCUAGCCCCACCCACCUGCAUGGCCGCCGCCGCCAGUGUGCGCCCCCGCAGCAGCCGGCACACGCCGCCCGCCAGCGGCCCAACCGCCUCGUCCUCCCCCUCAUCCACCAGGUCCCCGUGCACGCCCCGUGCAGACCCGCUGGGGCAGCAGCCCACGUAGCCGGCUGUAGCAGCCGCGGCUGUAGCACCGUAGGCGGCGCUGCUGCUGCUGCUGCUACUGCCGCUGUCGCGGCCUGCAGUAGCGGCCGCCAGGUCCAGCAAGAGCUCGAGCAGCGCGGUGUCGCGUGGGGAGCAGCUGCUACUGCUGCUGCUGUUGCCGGUGUGUGUGUGUGUGUGUGUGUGGUGGUUGGGCCGGGAGGCAGCAGAGCAAGCACAUCGGAGCACGUCAGAUCAGGGUGGUACUGCAAGUCGUGUGUCCAUGCAUCGUGCCGUGCAUUGCAGGGCGAGCAAACUAACACCAUGCAUGCAGCCUCUUAAUUCCUUUUAGAGUGAGUGCUCAAUCCCAGCCACACCCGCGCAUUGUACAGCAGCGCAUUGUACAGCAGCAUUGUACAUCAGCAGUAAACCCUGUGACGCACCUGGCGGCGGCCGUGUCAGAUGCCGGCGCUGUUGAAGGAGGGGUAGCGCCGCCACUGCCGCCGCCACCACCUGCUGCGCCCUCCGCCGCCACUGCUCCCGGUGACGUCGUAGCAGCAGCCGGGUUGGCGGCGGCGGCGGCCGGCGGCGGCGGCGGCAGCACUCCCGCCAGCAGCUGCAGCCAAGACCUGCUACUGCCGGUGGUGGUGGUGGUGGUGGUGCUGCUGCUGCUGCUGACACCCGUGGCCCCCGCCGCCACCGCUCGCGCGGCGCCCUUGCCUGCCUGCUGGCCGGCAGCAGCAGCAGCUGUGUGCGCGGCUGUAGCCGACGCCGCGUCGCCACUGCUUCCGCUGCCGCUACUGCCGCUGCUGCUGCUGCUGCUGCUACUGCCGAACAGGUCUGCAGGCCGCUGCAGGCCGCGCAGCACGGACUGCAGCGCGGACCGCUCCGCUGCCUGCCAGGCCCCGGCGGCGCCGCCACCGCUGCUUCUGGUAGCGGCGGCGGCGGCGGCGGCGGCAGGUGCAGUCGGGGAGGACGCAGCGGCGGCGGCCUCGGCAGCGGCGCCCGAGGAGACCAGGUACCUGUCACACACAGUGCCGUACAUCCAGCAAAAACAAGCCAGCAUGGGUCAGCAGCAUCACAGCGCCAGCUUCGGACCGGGUUGCCGGGGCACAACUGGGUUGAUAGCGCACUGCUGACUGCAACACGGCAUUGAAGCGGCACGGCCUGUGCGCCCGCCCGCCCGCCCGACGAUGACCUGGGAUGGAGUCCCACGCCUCGCGCCACCUGCUGGCCGCACCACCUGCUGGCCGCACCACCUGCUGGUCGGCAGCGUUCCGCCCACCCAACCGCACGUACAGCGGUAGCAUCGAACACACACACACACACACACACACACACACACACACACACACACACACACACACACACACACACACACACACACACACACUCGCACACACAUAGCCACACACAGCCACACACACCUGGCGGCGCUCCUGAGGUUGGCGUACGCGACCCAGGCGCAGCGCUGCACCUCGCACACCUCCUCCGGGGCCACACAGUCCAGACCCGCCAGGCACACGCCAGGCACCCAGAAGCCGCCGCCACCGCCGCCGCCGCCGUAGGCGUCUGCAACACCCACCCCGCCUGCCGGCAGGUAUGUAUGUAGGGCGGCGGACGCAGGAGGGUUCGUUAGCACGGGUUCGGCAGAGCGCUAGCGGCGUGUGGAUGGGAUGGCGACUGGCAGAACGCGUAUGGUGCCCCGAAUGCACGAGCCAUCAUCAGGUAACAAGGGGACCGCACGCACCUGCGCCCAGCGCCCCAAGGGCCUUGGCUCCUAGUUGCCGCACCGCCGCCAGCCCACCUCCGCCGCCGCCGCCGCCGCCUCGGCCCCGCGGCGGCGGCGGCUGCCGCUGGGAGCCGCGCAUGGAACGGGCGGUGGCGGCGGCGGCACUGCUGCUGCUGCUGCCUGCGGUGGCGGAGGGGCGGCGCUCGGCUGCGAGGAGCGCGCGCUGCGGGCGAGAGCGUGAGAGGGGUGUGAGAGGGGUAUGAAAGGCACAACAGACGUAAAGAGGCGGACGUGUGGGGUGAGGCUUGCGGCCAGUUGUGAUCCAGUGGGAAGAUGGGCAGCUGUCGAUAGCGCAAACAUCCACGCACGCCCCAACCACUAACUCCACCACCCACUUCCCAGAUAGACCCCGGUCGUGCCGCCCAGCCACACGCGCAUCCACACCGCCGCACCUGUCUCGCAGCCUUCUGCAGCUCCACCUGGUUCUCCCUGCAUGCCAGCGAGCGCCGCCACCGCCAUACAUCAGAGCAUGGGGCGAUGACACACACACACACACACACACACACACACACACACGAGACAUGUUAAUACGUGCAAACUUGGCGCCCACGCCCACCCCUACCCACGCCGGCCACCACCGCCUGCCCCGCCCCGCCCCGCCCCGCCCCAGCAGUUCCCAGCAGUUCCCAGAGGGCGCCCCUCGCUCCCUCACCUCAGCCGCCUCAGCGCCUGGCCCCGGUCCCAGAACGCCUGCGACAGCUGCCCCUGCACCGCGCCCGCCGCCCGCUGCCAGCCGGAGGACACACCGCCGCCGCCGGCGCCGCCGCCAGCAGUGGGGGGCGGGCGCGGGGGGCCAGCCUUACCACCGCCGCCACCGCCGUCAGUGCCAUCACUUGCAACCUCAGCAGCCCCAGCCGCCGCCGUCAUUGCGGUUGCUGUCGUGCUGGCGGCGGGACCCGCCGCAAGGGGGCCGCCGGAGCCGCCGGGGAGCGGCGCCAGUGGCGGCGGGCCCGGGUCUGUGGCAGCACCAGCAGCUGUAGCGCCGGCAGCAGUAGCAGCAAGAGCUGCAGCAGUAGAAGCUGUAGCAGCAGCAGGGGCGCCCCUGACCCCGCCGCCCAGGAAGUCACCUGGGGCGAACGGGGCGGGCACACCGGUGGAAUGGGGGCAGGGAGUCGGGUGAUGCGUACGGUACGGCACGUGCAGCAGGCGCGACCCCGGGCAGCCUCAGGGGCAGCAGCCCCCGCCCCCGCCCCUGAAUCACGUGUGUGUGCGGGCGGCAGCGGUGCGUGCCUCACACGUGCGCCCCUACCUGUCACACGCCCCUCCCUCUCACAAGCCCCGCCGCCUCACCCGCCCUGUGGCGCAGGUACGCCAACAGGAACUCGCGGUAGAUGACCAGUCCGUUGUCGUUGGCGUCCAACUCCUGGGCGUGUGUGUGUGUCGAAACGAAAGCCCGCCCAAUGACGCGAGUUACUUACCGAUACCUACCACGCGACCCAGGUAGUCAUACUUACCCGCGAUAAGCCUGGAACCCCACGGGCGACCAUUCGGCCUGACCCCGCGAUGCACCUGCAUGCGUCCAUGCUCCGCACCCUGGGCGCACUAAACAACGUUUGCCCGGCACGCCUAAUUCCCAGAUUCCCGCCCGCUGGUCGUAGUCGAGCUCACCUACGGGUGACAGAUAUAUACGUGUGAGUAUUGAUUGGUGGGGGGUGGGGUUGCAAGGUUACAACACUGGGAACAGGGAGCUGGGCAGCAAGUUCCGGCGUUGGUGGCGUUGGUGGCGUUGGUGGCGGCGGCAGCAGCAGCCAGCAUGCAGCCCAACCCGGACGUAUCGACAACUCGCCAGGACAGGAGCCCUCCGUACCAAGAGCCGCCGGCGGCCGCACCCACCUGCAUCCAGUUCCUGGGCAGCGGCGCGGUGGCGUGUGCGUCAAACACCGGCCCCACCACGCCCGCCUCCUCGCCCACGUCCCCACCCGGGCCCCGCCACGGCGACCACCUGCAAGUAUGCACACAAGCACACACGGGGGGUCACAGGCGUUAGCACAGCAGGCACUUGCACGCCGUGCGGAGCCGAAGCUAAUGAAGUCGCCUCUUGCUGGACUUGCCGUUUACCUUACGCCAUGCUUGCGCCCGCACCCGCAAUCCCGCAAACCCACAAACCCACAAACCCGGAAACCCGAUCGAAACCAACGCACACCUAGCGCACCUGGUUUCUGCCGGGCGCCGCAGCAGCAGCACUGCCGGCAGUCCCGCUCCCCACAGCGUGCCGCCCGCGUGCGGGUCCCGCCCCGCCAGUCCGCUGGGCAGACGCCGGAACACCAGGUCGAAGAAAGACAACACCCGCACCCCACCGCCGCCACCACCGCCGCCACCGCCACCCAGCUCGUCCUCCUGGCGUCCGGGCAGGCGCGCCGGCGGCACCGCGCCCGCCUCCCACGCCGCCACCGGCAGCAGCGCCACGACGGAGGUGGUGGCGGCGGCGCCGGCGGCGGCGGCAGCGGUGCCGGGCGAGGAGCCCGAGGCGUGCUUGCGUCUCUUCGAAGCGGUGGCCGCAUGCGAUUGGAUGGGUGGGGAGAGUCCUCGACAGUCAGUAGGUGUUUCCGGGCGCUUGUUUGAUUGGCUAGGCUUCCAAACCCCGUCACAGUCUAGGCAGGCAAUGCCUAGUCGCACCAUGCCUGGGCCCUAUGCAGCUGUGCCCCUAUCACGCCCUGUGCCAAGCAUCUGCACACCUUGAAAUUAUUACCUGUUGGUGUUGGUGUUGCUGCUGGGCGUCCGCCGCCCGCACCAGCAGCGGCGCCGCCACCGCCCUCUCCAGCGCCGCCCGUGUCUCAAACCGCACAUACAUCAUGUGCCGCCGGCCCGGGGCGCCGUCAGCGGCCCCGGCCCCACCACUACUGCCGCCACCCCCCGUAGCCUGCCCCUGCCGCUGCUCCAUGUCUGCUACAGCCUCUGCGGCCGCCGCCGCCGCCGCGGCCUUUUUGAGCUCCGCCGCCAGUGACGGCAGGCCGGUGGCGGCGGCGUUGUACGGCACCACGUGCGGCGGCGCCGCCAGGCCGUGCUGCGCCGCCAGCAGCGCCGCCAGUCGCUCCGGAGCCAUGCCCUGUCGCGGCGCAUGACAGGCACAGUAGUGUUACAUAUCGCCAGGCGCGAUGUAUAAAGUCAGUACAGGAUAUGUCUAGGGUUGUUCCUGGCCUUAGAAUGGAAUUCCUUCUAACGUUAUAAUAAUGUAGAACUAAAUUAGAUCAUUAGGAUGAGCAUGAGAACGAGGUCCGUGACUUUUAACCUAGGGGGGGUUCGCUGCUGAAACUUUGGCAAGCCAACGGCUGAUGCGCACCCAGGUGUUUGCAAAAGUCGGCACGUUUGCGGGGUGCACAGGCCAGGCUGAACUGAGUAUGCGCCCCCCAGAUACAGCCAUACUGACUGCGCUGGUCACGGUAGACCCGUCAUCAGCAGCCUGUCAAAGGUGCCCGUUAGCCAUUGCACAUACGCAUGGACGCAUGCCGGUAUACGGCACGCCACAGUGCUAGUCUCCGCCUCCCCACUCGUCUGCUUUGGCGCGCUUCUGUCCCCAAGAUUCAAAGCCAAUCCGUGUUUUCUCAAUCCCAGGUUCUAAACCUGGUCGCUUGGGCCUUCUACAAAAUACGGUUAUAAUAAUUUAGGAUUUUCCUAAGUUUAAUUCUCAUCCUAAGACCCGGCGCAACCCUAGAUAUGUCAGAUCCAAACACAUUAUUGGUGGGUAGCGGCUCAGUAGAUGCUGCUACACAACACACAGACAGGGGCUCGGACGCAUGCAUACACACACAGCAGCCGCACACGUUGCAAGGGAUGCCCUCUGGACACCCUCUUUCCUUACUUGCCCUCUCCGACUACACAACUCCACAUAUACACACGCACACACCCAAACACACACACACACACACACACACACACACACACACGCAAACCUCCCUUCACCACCCCGCCACGCACCGCCAGCGCCGGCCCCGCCGCCACCGCCCAGCACGCGGCCUGGUCCCGCGCCCACGCCUCGCGACCGCCCUCCCGCGCCGCCUCGUGCUCCGCCAGCGCCGCCAGCAGCCCCGGCUGGAACUCCACCACGCCCGACAGCAGCGCCACGCAGCGCGCCUCGCUGCGGCGGCCGCGGCACAUGCCCCACACCAGUCGCCGAAGGAAGGCGCCGUCGGAGGCCAGGCUGUGUGUGUGUGUGGGGGGGGGUGGAGUGUGGUGAGUUGAAUUGGGGGUGGCGGUGGAGGAUGGGGUGGGGCGGGGUGGGGUGGGAUGAGGCAGUGGGGUUGGUGAUGGGGAGGAUGGGAGGGAGAGGUUGUAAAGGGUGAGGGUUGGGGGAAGAGGAUGGGAUAGCGAGAGCGUCGAGGUGAAACUGCCAGCAAGGCCCUUGCCGUGCGUGCGGGUGAGGGAGCUCGGUGGGGCCGUGUUGCUGGCGCGGCAUGCCGGGAAGCAGGGCUGGAGUUUCUGAGAGCAUUCCUGAUGGGAAUGUGCGUGACUUCGAAAGACAGCAGUGCGGCGCUGUGGCGAGUGCGGUGUGUGUGCGUGAUGUGACGUACACAGCCAGCAGUGCGACAUGCAGUGUGCAGACUCUCCACACUUGCCCACCCAAACCCACGCCCCCCCGACCCCCCACCCCGAUCCCCCCCACCCACCUGAGCAGCUUGCCCUCCACCUCGCGCCGCAGCGCUGGCGACACGUCACCCGAGCCCAACAGCCCCAUCAUCACCUGCCGGUGACGACAGAGGGGCGGUGGGGCGGCGUGUGUGUGGUGGGGCGGUGCACAGAAGUGAUAAGGCGCCACCACACAUCGACUGUCUUGGCCAUUGAUGUUGCAACUGCUUUGUCCCCAUCCUUUUUACACACACAUAUAUAUACACACACACACACAUGAACAUACACACACGUCCUCGCACGCCCGCACCUGCAGCGACGCCUCCCACUGUGUGUCGUACGAGCAACACGCCAGCCGCGUGAGGCGUGAGACCAUGGCCUGUGAGACGAGACGGGUUAGCCGUGGCCCGUGAGCUUUUGUGUGCGUGUGUAGUGUGUGUGUAUGUGUGUAUGUGUGUGUAUGCAUCGGAUCUGUGCGGUGCACGCCGCAUCUGUUCCGCCGCUCCUCUCCCUCCCCCUCCUCUGCCUCUUCCUCUUCGUCAUGCCCUCCUGCCCUCCUGCCCUCCUGCCUUCCUGCCCUCCUGCCCUCCUGCCCUCCUGCCCUCCUGCCUUCCUGCCCUCCGGCCCUCCUCCGGCCCCCCUGCCCUCCUGCCCCCUCCCCCCCCUCCUCCCCCUCCUCCCCUCCUCACCAUGACCUCCAGUGUGCUGCGAGCAGGCCAUCCAGCCCUGUGCAUGCGGGUGGGGUAGGGUGUUUCCACCAUUCCCAAGAAGAGACACAGGGGGGAGCAACAACAGCCACUAAGCCCAAACACACACAUGCCCAUGCUUCUGCUACCUGACAGCCCCGGUCCCAAUCCCAGCCCAGGCCCAGAGUCUCUGAUGACUGCAUCGGUCCACCCCGGAUCACGACACUUCACCGCCCCCCCACUCCACGCCCUCCUCCCCAAGCCCCACCACCCCACGCACCCCCCCACACACAUACACACACCGCCACGCACACACCCACACACGCACACACACACAUGCGAGCUCACUUGUGCGCAAUCUUGUUCCACACGGCCGUGAACACCACACAGCCGCUGUCGGGGUGGUCAUCGUCCCGCGGCGCCGCGCUGCCUUCGUACCGCUCCACCAUCUGCUCGGCGGGCACACACAGCACACACGUGACGCGCACACGACCACGAGGAGAAAGGGAGAGGACUGUGAUGCAAAACACCAAAGAAGGAGAAAAACACACACUACACACACGCGACCGCGUGCGGCACAAGUGUGCAUGUGUUCACGUAUCAGCCCUGAUCCCUUUGCCACCCUCGCCUGCGGCAUCACCCAUACUCCUAUCGCCGCCUUGCCCCCCAGCACGCCGCCUCUCCCCCCAACACACAGCCCCUACAGGCGCACCACACGCGCACCUUCCGCACCCGCCGCCAUUCCCGCGGGCUGCAGGGGCGGCCUGUGGCGUCGGGCGGCUGUGCGUCGCCCUCGCCAUCGCCCUCGUCAUCGCUGCCGCCCAUCGCCGCCGCGGUCUGUGAACGGGUGGGGGUGACGGGCCCAUACAGACCUGCUGUGUAUGCGAAAGAGGGGCCGAGAUACGCCCCACUACCGGCUCGGGGAUUGGGUGCUAACUACGGGCCCACCCAUUUCCACACGCGCCGAAACAACAGAUCAAAACGCAACGCAUAACGCAACGCAACACAAGCCUUGCCCCCCACUCCCCAAAGUACUCCUGUCCACCACAACCACCCACCAUGGGCGACUGGAUGAUUGCCAGCACGGUGCCGAACAGGGUGACCUCGUCGCGCCGCCAGGGGGCACUGGCGCCCACACCCGGCGGCGGCGGCGGCGGAGGCGGCGCCUCCUCCUCCUCCAUGUCGAGUACAACGGCGGCGCCGCGGCUCCCCUUGCGACCCUUGCCGCCCUUGCGGCCCUUGCGGCGCGGCGGCUCCGGCAACCAGGGGUCCUGUGCGACAGCGAGUGUGUGAACGUGCGUGUGCGUGUGCGCGUGCGUGUGCGUGUAGGAGGGUCGUUUAUAUCCAGCGAACGUCUAUUCCGAUCCCCUCUUGGUGCUGUGGCGGCACUGACAGCUGUGCUGCAGCCCCUCCUCAGUGGAUCAGGCAGUCGGCUCACACGCAGGACCCCCCAGGUACCAUCCCUGGUCUUGCGGUACCCCUGCCCGGUGGCUGGCCGGUAACUGGCCGGUAACUGGCCGGGGGCUGGCGGGGGGCUGGCCGGGGGCUGGCCGGCUGCGGCUUGCAUUGCAGCCCCGCGCACUACGGUAUGGUCUCGGUCGUCGCAAGCCCCCACCCUCACGCCCUACGCCCCCACGAACCCCCAUGAACCCCCACGAGCCCACGAGCCCCCCAUGAACCCCCAUGCCCCCCACGAACCUACACGAAGCCCAGGAAACCCCACUCUCCCACGCCGCCCCACGCACCCCACCUGAAUGCCCCUGUCGUACAGGCUGUGCAGCCCCGCCCGCUCCAGCUCCUUGCCCUUGCCCACAGCCGCCAACACGUACAGGCGCAAGAACCUGUGUGUGGAAUGGGGGUGAUUGGAUCUUCUGUGUAUUAGCGUGUGUGUAUAUAUGUGCAUGUGUGUGUGUGUGUGUGUGUGUGUGUCGUACAAGAAUCGUGUGUAGAAAGGUGCAUGCGCUGUAGAGAAGCACGCAGGACUGCAUUGCUGUGACACACGCACGGCGCCGCCGCCGCCGCACCUGUCCACCCAGCCGCUGAUCCACCAGGGCGGCGGCGCGGGCAUCUGCCGCCAGUUGCCGCCCACCGCCUCGCUGGCCUCCUCCAUGCGCCCUGUGGGCCCGUGUGUGUGGAUGGGGAGGGAGGGGAGGGGCAGCAGCAGGGCGCAACUGAAGAGGGAAUGGGGUCCAGGACCAGGGAGGCCGGCAAAGCCAUGCGUGUGUCUGGAGCCCAGCGGCAGUCUCCUGCGGCCGCGCAGGGCAGUCGGCCCCGCCCUGGCAAGGGAGGCCCCGCACCCGCCACCCGGCACGCAAGGCCCGGGGCCCCGGGCCCGCUCCAACCCUGUCCAUCUCCCAGCUCCCUUCUACUCGCCCCGCCCCGUCCCGCCCCGCCCCGUCCCGCCCCACCCCACCACCUGCCCCUGUACUGCACCUGCACGCCCGCCACGCACCUGCCAUGUGCUGCACCUGUUCCAUGCGCACCGCAUCCGGAUUCCGCAUCCAGCACUGGAACUCGUCCAGGCGCCCGUACCGCGGAUCCAGCGCCGCCGCGCCCACCGCCCGCCGCCCCUCCCUGCCGCCGCCGCCGCCGCCGCCUGCCGAAGUCCUGCCUUCCGAACCAGCGUCAAAGCCCUGGCCCGACGUGGCUGUAGCUGCAGCUGCGGCUGUAGCCGCCGCGGCUGCAGCUGCGGCUACAGCCUUGUUCAGUCGCUCGGCUACGGCUACGGGCACGGAGCGGUUGAGCGACAGCGCGUGUAGCUCGAUCAUCAUAGUGCGGCGGGUGUAGGCCAGGCUAAGGCGGAAGCCGAACUUGUUGGGCCUGUGUAUGUGCGUUAGAUAACACAAGGAAGGAAACACGCAGGAAUGUGUGUGUGUGUGUUUAUGCGUGUGCGUGUGUGUGUGUUGGUGUGUGUGUAUGUGUGUAUGUGUGUGUGGCACGUACGACAUUGGGGUGGGCUUUGUAGAAAUGGGGAUCGGGCACCGGUGCACAGAAGGCAUCUCAAGGACAUGGGCGGCUGCAGCUCGGCACCUCAGUGGGCGGCAAAAGCCCGAAGACGGUGACGAGCUGCUUGCGCCUUAGUGGGCGGCUGCGGCUGCGGCUGCGGAUGUGCACCCCUGCACGCUACACACACCUGAACAGAUCUGUUGGGCUCCAGUCGGGAUGACCGGGAGCCAGAGGCAUGAACAGGCCGUCCGCGUGCGUCGCCGUGACGCCGCCAGGCAUGCGGGUCUGCGGGCAGCAGGACAGGACAGACAUGAGGACAGGGGAGGGUACCGCAGUAUACUUCACCUAAACCAAGACCCGAAAGCAGUGCGGAGGAGGUUUGGCUACACCUUUAUCUUAGGCGCCCUUGAGCCUUGUUCACAUGAGAGGGUGAUGCUGGUUGCUUGCGCUGGCAGUCCCCAUGACCAUACGCUUCGCACGGUCACACGCCACACAGCCGUCCAAUCACGCACGCGAUGUUGCCUUGCAUCUCCCAGGCCGCCCGCCCGCACGCACGCACCACAGCCGUCUUCACCAGGCUGACACUUCUACCCACGCCACACGUCAGGACACCCUCACAUCACGCUGACACUGCUUUCGGUACCCGCCCACCCACGCAUCUAGCCGCCACCCAGCCACCCAGCCACUCGUCCCUCACCCAGGUCAGCUCCGCCUGGCUGAUGUGGCACAGCUGCCGCACCAUCUUGAAGAUGGUGUUGGCCAGCUGGCGCACAGUGAGGUCGGGCACGGGAGCGCGGUGGCCGAUGGCGAAGCGCAUGCUGCACACGGGCGGAAGCACCUCGGCCUGUCGUGCGCGCGGGGGAGCGAGGUCGGGAGAGAGAUGGAGGGUUGUACAUUCCAGCUCAAACUGAACCGAACCCGAUGCAGUAAAGCGAGGAGGAGAGCGUGGCCUAUGCUUGGCAACGGAGUGGGGGUUUGGGGUUGGCGUCGGGGCUUGAGGAUUUAUCUAAGCGCACGCACUCGUCCGGUUUCCACGACGUUUCACCUUUUGCAUGCGAGCACGCUAUCAGGAAACACAUGAGCGAGCCGCGAUCUCAACCACCGACCCACCACACGUGCGUAAGCCAUGCCGUACUCCAGGUCGUCCUGCGUGUGCAGCACCAACACGCCGUCCUCACCCUCGCCCCCGCCGCCCCCUGCCCCGGCGCCGCCGCCCCCCGCCGUGACGCUGCGCCCGCGCCCGCGCUCCGGCGCCGCCUCGGCCCCUCCUUCCGCCCCUCUCGCAGCAGCGCCAACUGCCGCCGCCGUCUGACCGGCUGCCGCCGCCACCGAUGCAGCCGCCGCCGCCACCGCCGCCGCCGAGUCCGCAGUGCCGUACCGCGCCUGACUAAGCCCGCAGGCCGUGUCGAAGCUCUGCACCAGUAGGGCCUCUGUGUGAGCCAGUGACAACGUGCCCGCCAGCGCCGCCGCCACAUACCCCUCCACCACAUCGCCGCCAGCACCACCAUGAGCAUCGCUGCUGCCGUCACACGCCCCGCCGCCGCCGCCAGCAACAUCGCCCGGCGGCGCCGGCAGCGCAAGCGGCGCCGGCGCUCCCGGCACCACCGCCGCCGCCGCCGCCGCCGUGUUUUCCAGCGGCGGCGGGCGGCGCGGCGGGAACUGCGUCACGUGCGCCGCCAGCAGCGCCCGCCGGCCGUGGCGCAUGUGGUUGGCGAACUGCAACAGCUCGGCCGCCAUGCGCAGCAGCGAGCUCUCGCCGUUAUUCAUCAUCUCGGGCGAGGCGAACAGCGGGUACAGCCCGCAGCGCAUCAGGUCGUACAACACCUCGUCCUCGUACGGCCCCCAGUAACCGCUGGACGAGCGCGACGCCGCGGUUUUACCAACCGUCAUGGCGGUUUCGGUUUUACCAAAUUUACCGGUUUUGCGCUUGCCGCCGCCGCCCUGCUGCUGCUUCUGGGCGUUGCUGCCGCCGCCGCUGCGGCGGGGGUCUGUGUCCAGUGCGAGGGUGACGGCUUUGCCCACAGCCGAGUCCAGGGAGGCCAGCGUGAAGGGCGACAGCGUGGCGCAAGCCUCGCGCGCCGCCCGCUCCGCAAAAGACAGGUAGGCGUUGCCUGUGUGCAAUUUGAGUGUAUGUUUGUGUGUGUUUGUGUGUGUUUGUGUGUGUUUGUGCGGAUGUGUGUGUGUGUGUGUGUGUGUGUGUGUGUGUGUGCGUGCGUGUGUAUGUGCGCAUGCGUGGGGUAGGAAUACCGAAGGUGCGAGGGCGUAUGGUUGCACCAGGCGGGCGUGCAGGUGGGCAGCCGGGCGGGUUGAGGGUGACGUUGGGGUCGGCUGGCGUUGCUUCGGGAGGGCUACGCCAGCGCGUCACAAACCCGCACGAAACUGCCCACGCAUCCGCACGCAUCAGCUCUGCACGACCCCGCGCACUUCAGACCUCACCGAACCACACCGAACCGAACCGAACCGCGCCGUACGGCGCGCCUACCUGGCAGCGCGUCCCCCGCCACUGCUAGCGCCAGGCGCGGCGCCACCUCCGCCAGCUUGACGAUGUCGGUGGCGCGCAGCGGCGGCAGCACCGCGCCGCGCAGCGCGGGCGGGCCGUGGCGAAGCAGCAACCACAGGAUGCCGUCGCCGGCCCUGAAGAGGGUGGCGUGGUGGGGUGCAAGGGGGGAGGCGUCAGGCGGCUUGCGGCGUAGGGCGGCGAAUGAAGGAGCGUGCAAGGAAGAGGCGUGGGGCUCUUCCAUUAUUAAUCUGAGACACUCCAGCUGCCCGAGCAAUGCUGCACUGACGGAAAUUUGCAAGUGAAUGAACCCGGUGAUCCACUGCGUCCAGAAAUGCCCCUUCGCUUCCUGCCCCCGGACUCAAAAGAUUCAGCGGGCCGCAAGGACUCGAACCCAUGUAAACGCUCAUGCCCCUCCCUCCCUCCUCGCCUCCCCCUCCCUCCCUCCGCCCCCCGCACUCCCACUCAGCCAGCCACCCACCUGUUGAAGCGGUUCUGUCGCUUGGCGACGUCCAGCACCAUCAGGCUUGUGCGCGCCGGCCGCCCGCGUGCGUCUGUUGGGCCGGCGGCGGCGGCGGCUCCGCGGCUGUGCAGCGACUCGACAUUCAACAGUUGCAUGAAGCGGAGCACCGCCGCCGUCAGCGGGGUCAGAACAAAGUGCUGCUUGGCCCUGUGAGCAUGUGGGUGGGGACGGGUGGAAGGUAGGGGAGGGUGAGGGUGAGGGUGAGGGCGUGUGUCAGAGAAGCACAAGUAAGGAGGCUGUGCGAUGUCGUGAUUCACAUUCUCGGCGAGGCAGGAAUGGGCAGACCGAACCCAAUUCACGACAUGCUACAGGCCAGCUGGCGUGCAUGGCGUGUGCCUCCGGCUACCAUAACUACCGGACACACACAGCAGUGGAGGAGCAAGGAGGCUACCUAGUUCCGCACACGACCCACAGCUUUGCGAAUUGGUGGCGGCGGCCCUCAACACCACGCCACGCCACGGCUUCCUCCGACGUGUCCUCCCAUUCCGCGGUCGCCUCCUCGCCCGGCGGGCCCGGCGGCGGCGCCACAGCUGCUACAGCCAACCGUGUGGGUGCACCAGCAGCCGCAGCCCCUGCAGCUGUGGCUGUAGCAGCAUCGGGGCCGCCGCCGCCGCCUGCUGCCCCGCUGCUGCUACCACCGCGGGCGUCGGGGGCCGGCGGCGGCACUAGUAGCAGGUAGUCAAGUGCCAGUGCUGAGGCGUGUGUGAUGCGGCUGUGCAAGCUGCGCUCGUCGCAGACCGGCAGGCGGAAGACGGAGGCUUGCGCGGUGGGCGAGGCGCCUGGGUGGGGGUCAGGGCACGGCGGGGUGCAGGGGGAGAGGCAGGAACGAAGGUCACUGGGGAGUAGGGGUGGGAGGAGGGUUAGCGGGAGGUGUAGUGCGUCAAACCCUUUUUCUUUCCGCUGCUCGCAGGCACACAUACACACACAUACACACACUCGUGCACACCCACACACAUCCAUCCACACACACGAUCACACGCACACAUAUACACACACGAUCACACACACACACACACACACACGAUCACACACACACACAAGCGCACGGACCGGACCGGACCUUUAGCUAGCAGCGCCGCCACCACGGGCGGCGUGGCUGCCAGUGCGGCGCACAUGAGUGGCGUGGCGCCGUUGACGUCGGCGGUGUCCGGCGGCGCACCCGCGGCCAACAGCAGGUGCACCAGCUGCAGUGCGGGCAGGCGGCAGGCAGCAGGCAGCGAGCGGUGUGCGUCGGAAGGCUCUUCAGUGAUCGCGUGUGCUUCCUUCUUUUGCAGGCACAUACGCAUAGGCAGGAUGGAGGAACUCCACGUGUGUGCUCUACCAGGCCUGCAGAUUACGUUUUUACCCGCAUGACACGCAUUUUACGCAGGCCUCGACCCUUUCCUGUGUCUCUGUUUAAACACCACAAGCGCCCAUCAACCUAACACACAUACACACACACACACACACACACACACACACACACACGCACCUGCAGCUGCGCGUUCAUGCACCUCUGCAUUGCGGCGUCGGGGCCCUCGCCCGCCUCCUCGUCAGCGGGCCACAGCUCCGCAGGCAGGGGGUACGGCCACACGCCCCAGUCUGGGGCCGGCACCGCACCCGCACCGCCACCACCACCGCCACCGCCAUCAUCACCAUCGCUAUCAGACGCGCCGGCGCCAGCGUCUGAAUCGCUGCCCGAAGACGCGGGCCUGCGCGCCAGGGGGCUGCGCCACUUGCCGCCACGCCGGUCCGGGUCGCCGGAUGCGGCGGCGGCGGGCGCAGGUGUGGAUUUGGGGCCGGCGGCGGAGGCGGCGGCAGGUGUGGCAGCGGCGGGUGUAGCGGACUGCGGGGCGUAGGGUUGUGCCUCGUCCCGCACAGCCUGCGUGUGAUGAGCACACGCACACACACAUACAAACUGUCCUACGCGUAGUAUUUUCCUUGUGCUCUUUAACACACAUACAAACACAUCAGCAUAGCAGGAUUUCGUUAAGAACUUCGUGGCUUUACUUUCAAAAAAGAAGGGCGGGUGGUGGCACAAACAUUGCGAGAAGGUGAUGGACACGCAAAUGUGCUCACGCACGCCCGCCCGCACGCCCGCACCUGGGGUACUCGCGACAGCAAGCGGCCGUCGAUGCGCUCGGCGGUGACCGCACCGCGGAGCAGCGAGCCCUGCACGAGUAGUGUGUGUGUAUAUGUAUGUGUGCGUGUGUACAUGCAUGUGUUACAGGAAAACAAAGGCAGUUCAACGUAGCCCGACCCCAUCUAUCCACCCCAGUCGCCGACUCACCGCGUCGGCGUCGGCGCCCCACGCCGGCAGCAGGCAGGUCAGGUGCAGCGCCGUCAGCCGCAGCGGCGGCAGCCCCGCCCCCGCCGCCUCGGGCCAAGACACCAACAGCAGCCGCACAUGCUCCACAGCCAGCGACCCAACCAGCGCCGACAGCACCCUGCGAGCCGCACGCACGCACGCACGCACGCACGCAUGCAUGCAAAUAGCGCUGUGGUAAGGCCCAAUGCAUGGGUGAGCGUGCCUUCAGCACUCACACACAUAGAGAUGCUCUGGCGGGAGUUCUGGUGGGUGUUGGCACACAUGCCAAAUACCCCCAACAGGGUACGAGUCUGUGCAUGUGCGCCGCCAGAUGUCGCCGCUACCUCGUCCAUGUAUCAUACAACCUCAGGGCACGUGAGCAAGCGCCCACACGCGCACCUGGCCACCCCGUCAAUGGCCUCCUGUGGCGGCAGCCCGCCUCCUCCGCCUCCGCCGCCACCUCCCGCCGUCAGCCCCCGCCGUAGCGCCGUGAGCAGCGCCCCCAGAGCCGGCGCCGGCAGCAGUCCGCCGCGCUGCUGCUCCGCCUCCGGCGCCCGCACCAACCAGAACACGGCGCAGCAACGCCACUCGUCUGCCUCACACAGCAGCGAUGCCGGGGAUAUCCAGCCGCCGCGUGCUGCUACUGCCGGUGCCGCUUGUGCGGCUGCUGCUACUGGGCUUGCGGCUGUAGCACCGGCAGCUAGGCCAGCAGCCGGGCCGGUGCCCAAUGUGGCCACGCCGCCUGCUGCAGCCGUCGAUGGGGCCCCGAGUGCCAUGGGUGUGGCCGUAGCAGCGGCUGCAGCAGCUGCACCAUUGGCGGCUGUAGCACCGGCGGCGGUGAAGAGGCGUGCCACGGCGCGGGGAGUGACUCCGGCCCAGCGGCACCCGGCCCGGUAGGCGAGCAGGUGCAGCGGCCCAACCAGUGAGCCUGCGGCAGUAGCAGCGGCAGCGGCAGCGGCGGCAGCAGUAGCACAUGCAUGAGCACUGACGCACAUGGGUCGUACCGCUCGAAUCCGGGGUACGGCACGGAAGGAAAUGCGGUUGCAAUCGCAGCACGACGAGAUGCGCGUGUGCCCAUCAUCACAGCAAGAGGAGAGCGCAUUGCAGCGAUGUGUGCGUGCAACGAACACACCUGGGUAGGGGCGGCGCAGGUUGGCUCCCGCCGCCGCCAGCGCCGCCAGCGCCGCCACUCCGCAGGUGGCGGCGGCGCACUGCGCGGGCGUCAGGCCCGACCAGCCCACUGCCUCCGUGUCCGCACCGCGACUGAGCAGCAGCCGCAGCAUUGGCGACGCCUCCACCACCAGCGCCGCCGCGUCCUCCCCUCCUCCCGCUCCCGCCGCUCCCAUGCCUCCAGCCGCCACAGCCGCCACCGCGUCUCUGCUGCCCAUGCCACCAUCCUCGGCGCCGGCUCCAGCAGGGGCGGCCGCUGCGGCGGGGGCGGACGCAGGAGCGGUGCCAGGCAGAACACGUGCCUGCGGCUGCUGCAGCCGCUCGGCCUGUACCUGUUGCUGCUGCUGCUGUCGUUGUUGCCGCAGCCGGCGUUGGAUUUCGACUUUCCGCUGACCCCGCACCUGGUAGGCCACCGCCCUGGCGCCGCCGCCGCCGGUGCCGCCGCUGUCGGCGGCGGCGCGGGCGGCUGUGGCGGCGAGCGGCGGCGCCUCAUCGUCCGCGGCGUACCACAGCGGCCCCAGCAUCGUAUCCAUGCUGCGGGCAUGUCCAGCAUUGCGUUCCCAACAGCAAUUUCGCGUGCGCAGCCCCGUAAUUAGAGUAGUGAUUCAAAAGUUUGCCAACUCGUCAACUCAUCAAGAAAAAACGGAUGCUACCCUUGUCCACAAAGCGCCGCACGGAUACGAAGCCACUCCCCCCGGCCCGGACAACUCAUCCGCCCCAUGGACACAUGUCUGUCCACACGUGGAAUGCAACUCCCCAAAUACAUGUGUGUGUGAGUGUGUGAGUGUGUGUGUGUGUGUUGUUACCUGAUUUGCCGGACGCGCAAGCCGCUAACGCGAGGGAACAAGAGCUCAUGCGGCGCCAGGUACGGCCACACGCCGCCGGCACCAGCACCAGCACCAGCACCAGCACCAGCACCAGCACCAGCACCAGCACCAGCACCAGCACCAGCACCAGCACCAGCACCAGCACCACCAGCCGUGCCGCUGUCGCCAUCACCGCUGCCGCCCGCCCCCGACGACGCCCGCGGCUGCUGCAACACCCACUGCCGCAGCCGUCCGUCCAGCCGCUCCUCAUCCUCCUCCACGCGCUUGCCGCCGCCGCGCCCGUGCCGGAAAUUAUCCGCACCGUCCUUCAUCACGUCGUUGUCAUCAUCAUCGCUGCUGUCGUCGUGCUGCACGAAUGAGCGCUGCAGGCCGCGCCGCCGGGGCCGCUGCUGCGGCUUGGCGCCCGGCGGCGCCCGCGGGUGCGCCCGCGGCGCGGCGGCACGAAGCCGGGCCUCGCGCGCCUCAUCGUCCGAGACGGCGGCGUCGGCGUCGGCGGCGCCGAAUGUGGUGCUGUCCGCCUGCUGCUGCUGUGUGCUUUUAUUGGCAGCCGAGUGCGAGCUGGUGGUGGUGGUGCCCACGCCUGCUGAGGGCUGGGGCGCGGUAGCUGCGAUGGUGGUGGCGGCGGCGGUGGCGGCGGCGUCACGGGGUGGGGGCGGCGGUCCCAGCAGGCGCGGCAUGCUGACGAGCGACAGGAAGUGUGAGGUGCUGCGCCACUGGCAGGGCUGUUGCGUGGAGGGGAUGGGGAGGGGAGGGGAUGGGGAGGGGAUGGGGAGGGGAGAGGGCGUCGGGAGGAGACGGGUAGGUAGGACAGCAGCGGCGGGUCGUGAGGGCGUGGCAUCACUACAGCGGAAUAAAUUCCACCGACACCCGCAUCCCCCCCUAUCCGCCACCGCCCCAUCGCCGCGCGUGCCCGUCUGCCCGUCUUCCAUGCACACCCGCAUAUCGAUACAUAGCCGCCCGGCGCACCAUCCUACAAUUGACGACCCGAAGCCUACCUCCAGCCCCUUUCCCCGGCAUCCCUUCACAUGAAACCCCGGCCAUCCCGACCCUCCUCGCCCGCCUUUCCUCUCCUCGCCCCCUCCCCGCCCCUCCUCGCCCCACCCGCAUGCAGCACAGGUGCAGCGGCGUCAGGCCCCAGCCACUGGCGGCCACACGCAGCAGCGCCGGCGCCCGGUCCAGAGCCCAGGCCGCCGCGCGCACGCAGCCCCGCGCCGCCAGGCCGUGAAGCACACUGCCGUGCGGCCACACACCCGGCGCGGGCAUGUGCCAGGCGGCGGCGGGGCUGUCGGCGGCGCGGCCGCAGUCGGCAGGGAGCCAGUCCUCGGGGUGCAGCGGCAGGCGGCGGAGCAGGUCGCCACCGGACGACACCUGCGGUUGGGGGGGGGGUUUGGGGGGCGGUUCGGGGGCGUUGAGGCUGUCAAGGGGCGUGUGUGAAGCGCGUGAUGGACAGGGGUCGAAGGGCAUUGCACGUGUGGACCCGGCCCUCGCCACGCACGCCCCCAAGCCCCCUACACAUAUGCACACACACAUACACACACACACACAUGCACACACACACACACGCACACGCACACGCGCGCGCCUACCUGCUUCUGCAGCGCCUCCAGGUCGGCGAGGUCGGCCGCCUCACCCGCCCGCACAGCCAGACUGCCAGCCAGCGCCACCGCCGCACCACUGCCGCCGCCGCCGCCGCCACUGCCUGCGGCGGCCGCCAGCUUGACCAGCUUGCGCGCCGCCGGGCCGAGCUCCUCGGGCCGCAGCUCCGUGGCCGCAGCCAGAGAUAGCUUGCCCGUGAGCACACACGUCCUGCGGUGUGUGACAGCGGCGGAGGGAACGGCGGAGGGAACAGCGGAGGCAGCACAGCGUGGCAAUCCAUAGGUUGCGUAUCUGUUGAUAGCGGUGCGAAGCACGCAACCGCAGGCUGAGUAUGCAGGUGCGAGUUCGCGAGUUCAAGUGCAGCAUGCCUGCAUGCGUGUUAGAUAUGCAUGGGAUGCAUACACGCAUGCAUGUGCAGCAGGAGCAAGUAGGCGGGACUCACCGCACGCGCGCGUCGGUCCGCAGCGCCUCCGCCAGCGUGCGCACCGAGCCCCAGUAGCGCCCGCGGCCGAAGGAGUCGUGGGCGGCAUGGCCGCGCGGCAGGAUACUGUUGCGCGUGUGUGUUAGGAAGGCACGGGGGAAUUGCAAAGAUGGUACAGAGAAGUGUAGCGAGGUAGACAGCAGGCGGGGGAGGGGUGGCCACAGUGCGUGCGAAACGAUGCUGUGUAUGCCAGGUAUGACCACACGAGGCAACGGCCCAGGGCCCAAUCUUUAAUGAACUGGCCUAACCCCGAGGACCCUGCGACCCCUAGAGCCCCACUUUCUCGGCGGGGCCUUCACGCGACGACAAACAGUGCAGGUUCGCACACGCCCAGCCGCCCUAGGCGCGCUCCACGCACUCAUGCGCCCACGCACACCCGGGCGCACCUGACGCGCCUCACGCGGGCAAACAACCUCGACUCCAGCCGCACCGCCGUCAGGAACGUCCCCAACGACACCUGCAGCGGCAGCGCCUGGCCCGCGGCCGCAGCAGCGGCCUUGCCCUUGCCUGCCUUCUCCUUCCCAGCCCGCCCCGGUUGCGAGCCAGCACCUUCCCCACCAGCAGACCCCCCAGCAGCAGCAGCAGCAGCUGCCCGAUGCCGCCUGGCGGCUGCCGCCGCCUCCAGCGCCGCCUCCGUCACUCCCAUCAGCGCCGCCACCAGCGCCCGCCGCGCCGCCGUCCGCGCCGCCAGCGCCGCCGCCGUGGGUACGGCCACGGGGGUGGCGGGCGGCGGCCGCGCCUCGGCCGCGCGCCAGGCGGCCUCAGCGUCCACGAUGAGUCUUUCGGGUUCGCCAGGAUUGCGGGGAAUGUGGACUCCGGCGCAAAAGGUCCGGGCGUCAGCCAUCCUGUAGGCCAGCGCGUGCGUGGAGACCAUGUAAAAUGAAGUUGUAUGGACGAAGGGAUCGCAGGUGAGGAGCGUGGGGGAGGAAGAGGCGCACGCAGCCGCCUCCCGCGCAACCAAUCCACCCCUCCCAGCUAUUCGUUGGGCUUGGCCAUACUAUUUCCUACGCCACCCCGCCGCGCCCCCCCCCCUUCGGCCUCUUACGCGGGCCGCCUGCCGCCGUCCCCGUCAACAUCCCACACGAGUCUAUCACACGUUUCCAACGUGACGUGUCCUCCCAUGCGCCUCCGUGUCCCUGGUUCCUGAUUGGGAAUGGUGAGAACGAACUACCCCCCCCUCUCUCACACACACGUUCUCUCACAUGCAAGCUUCCAGCGCGCACGCCGUGAGCCGCCCACGCUCCUCCAGCUCCUGGAACGGCAGCAGCUCACACACGAACGGGUCGCCGCCCGCCCCAGCUCCCGCCCCAGCUCCCGCCCCCGCCCCAGCCCCGGCUCCUGAACCCGCCGCUCCCGCGCCUGCAGUGGGCGCCGCCGGGCCCGCUGUCGCCUGCUGCCCGCGCCGCAGCUGCUCUGCGAGCAGGCCCCACUGCCGCGCUGUCAGCGGUGUGGUGAGGCUGUCGCGGUUGGGCGUGUGCAGGUGCUGCGGGGCGCAGCAGCCGCAGCGAGGAGGGGGGAUUCCAUGUGUGAUGAGUUAUGGCAGAAGGUUUUCACCAGUCGUUGCAGCAGAUCAGACUCGGCGUGACGUGGGGAGAGGGAGGAGAGGGAAAAAGCACCGCCGCAGGGCUAGCCACCAAACGCACACACACAUACACACACACAUACAUACACAGACACACACACACACACACACACACACACACACACACACACACUCGGUGCCGCCGUGGAGCGGGGAGCGGGAGGCCAGCUCCCGCCAGCCCACGGCGACGCAUAAACACCCACCCGCGUGGUACCAGCCUGCAUCUAGAGCAGCUUGCGACUCUGCAACCGCCGCCCGCCACGGCCCCAUGCAACCCCGGCCCCGUUAAGGUUGCUUGCCGCACUCGCUCGCCCUCUUCUCCGGGUCGCGUGAUACUUAAUAGGCGGGCGUUAGACUGCGCGUUAGCUAGGUCGCUUGUUGCACGCCGCCCCACUUGUCGCCUUUGCCAUUUGCCUGCCCGUGACACUUCCUCGCUGCCGCCCUUUGCCCUUGCUUCCUCUGUCGCCCGUAGGUGAGCUCGACUAUGACCAGCGGGCGGGAAUAUGGGACUUAGGCGUGCUGGGUAAACGUUGUAGCGCGCCCAGGGCGCGGCGCAUACAAUGCAUAUGGGUGCCACUCGGGGUCAGGUCGUUCGUCGAUCGCCCGAGAGGGUUACAGGCUUUUCGCGGGUAAGUAUGACUACCGGGGUCGACGCGGCAACACGACGCUCGGUAUUCGGUAGGUAUCCGUAAGUAACUCCGGCGCCGCUUGGGCGGGCUUCGUUUUGUUGUUUUUUUGGGCUGAGCCCCCUGAGCGAAGCGAUCCAGGGGGGGCGAAGCCCCCCAGGAUUGCCCCUGUCCGUGCGUGCGUGCGUACGUGCGUGCCUGCCUGUGUCGACAAAAAGUACCAUACUGGCACAAACCGCGAGUGCCACGUAUUAUUAAUUGCAAUUACCUAUUGUAGAAAAAUAGACGGCAGGGAAAACUCGGCCGGAGCGAGAAGCGACCUCGUGAGUCCAUGGACAUCUUGACUUUCUUCAGUUCGCGAGUAUAGCUCUCGGCCCCUAAAUAUCUUACAUCCAUGUAUCAAAACAUGUCGACGACAAGCGUCUUGGGGCAAGAAUGUCGAAUUUGUUUGCAACAGCCAAACCAUGCGUCCCCGAGCCUUACAUGUGUCGCGGCCCGGGAUCCCGCGCCCGAGCCCGGCUAGCCGUUUGCGGUGCUUGAGUGGGAUGUGGGUGAGGUGCAUUUGGGAUAUCAUGGACCGUGAAGUGGCGUGGGUAAGGUGGCGUGGCGUGGCGGGGACAGGGCAUGUCAGUGCCUCGGCACGGCGUUGGCAUAGUGGCCAGUCCCGCUGGAUGGGCUUGCAAGGGUGCUGUUCAUGUCGCCGGUGCCCAUCGUCACAUCCCCUUGCGCUACAUGGGGCUCAGCCCAUUUUCCAGCUGUACAAAGCUGACACCCCUUGUUUCUAACACACACAGUCAACACGGUGAAGCACACGUACACACCUGUUGGUGGCUCCACGUGGGUUCGUCCAGUCGGCGGCUGCGGUACGGCCACCUCAGCGCCAGCACCACGUCCUCCAACACCAGCCGUCGCCGGGGCGUGCUGCAGAGCCGCGGCAUGCACACAAACACACACGCUGAGGCUCAGAGCAUACAGCCCUUCCUCCUGCCUCCCCACCCCCACCAACACACGCACCCGCGCCCCGCCCCGCCCUCCCUCGCUUCUCCCUCGCUUCUCCCUGGCUUCUCCCACGCCCUCCCGCCCCGAACUCACCGGCCCAUAAUGAGGUGAUGGCGCCCCAGCUCCGCACCGCGGGCUCCGCCGUCCACGUCACGCACCCGCCACAAUUCCUGCAUGUGCUCCCCGGGCGGGCCGUCGCCGCCGCCGCCGCCGCCGCCAAGACCUCCGCCUGCCUGUCCCUGCCUCGCCCCCACCCCCUCCGCCGCUGCCCGCUCCGCCUUCGACAUCUCCUCGUCCUCCUCGCCCACCUCCGCUGCCGCCGCCGGCAGCAGCCCCAGCUCCCACACCAGCAGCAGCAAACUGGCGUCGCACACCAGCCCCUCCACGCCCAGACAGGGCACGCGGCCGUCGCCACCCGCGGCCCGGCGCGCCUCCGCGCGCUGGCGGGCGCGGCGCCCCCGCUCCGCCUGACGCUCCCGCGCCGCCCAGGCGUCGUCAUCGCCGCCGCCGCCACCCUCCCGCGCCUCCUCGUCCUCCUCCUCGUCUUCCGAGUCGUAGCCAUACUCGGAGCGGCUGGGCUGGCGCAGCUCAAACCAGGCGCCGCGUGCGGCGUAGUGCAGGAACGCCCGCUCCAGCGACGCACGCACCGCACACAGCGCGGCGGCGGAGGAAACAACAACAUCCCGCGGCUCAUCCUCCUUCUGAUGCUGCUGUUGCUGCUGCUCCUUCACUUCUGCAUCCUUUGCUUCUGAGCAUUCGCCCCCUGCGCGCUCCGGUAUCCGCGGCUCGGCCUGAGCCCAGCAUAGCACUUGCAGCUCGUCCUCAUCGUGGCCGCUGCAGGCGCCCAGCAGCAGCAGCGGCGCCAUGCGCCGGCGGCCGCCCGCCGCCCCCGCCAUCCCUACCACCCCGCUGCCGCCCUCCGCCACCACCACCUCCGCCCCUUCCGCCACCACCACCUCCGCCCCUCCCGCCGCCGCCCCUCCCGCCGCCAGCUCCAGCAGCAUGCGCUCCACAGCGGCUGGCGGCGCACAGAAGCAGGUGCCCGCCAGGUCCAGCACCCGCAGCCCCGGCAGCCGCGCCGCCAGGUCGCCGGGCAGCGGCGCCGCCAGCCGUGCGGAGCGCAGCGACAACACCUGCAGGCGCGGCAGCGCCGCCAGCACGUCCAGGCCGCCGCCGCCGUCGCCGGCGGCGCCGCUCGCAGCGGGGGCCCCGGAGCCGAGGGUUCCGGAUCCGGAUCCAGCCCAGCCCCGGUUGUCUAUGAGGGUCGAAUCGGAGAGGUCCAGGUGGGUGAGGCUGGCGCCCAGGCUGGCGGCCAGCCAGGAAGGCAGCAGCGGCGGCAGCGGUGCCGAGGCGGCGUCAGGCAGAGGCCCGCUGGUUGGGGCGACGCUGGUGGCGGGGUGGAGUGGCAGUUCAAGGAUGGCGGCGGCGGGCGGGCCGGCGGGCGUGGUGGGGUACACCAUUGGAUGAGUACCGCCGUCACCACGCUGACCGCCGCCAUCGCUGUCAUCCCGGCCGGUGCCAUCCAGGUCGUGCGGCGGCGUGAAGGCGAUGCCUGUGCGGCGGCAGCGCCGCUCCAGCGCCGCCGUCAGCACCGCCUGCCGCGCCUCCGGCGUUGCCAGCGCGGCAAGGUGUGUGAUGGGUGCGUCAUGUGGGUCGGCGCCGGGGUGGCGCUGCAGGUGGUUGCUGAUGCGGGCCUGCUGCUCGCGCGCUGCGGCCUGCUGCUCCUGCUGAGAGGCGUGGUAGGUGUCGCGCAGGACGCGUGUGAGGUCCAGCGCCGGCAGGUGGAAGUUGGCGUAGGGCGCGAGGUAGCGGGCGCCGAGCGAGAGCCGGGGAAGAGCGGGGCUGGCAUGGCGGUGCUGCUGCGCCCCGUCACCGCGGCCUGGCGAGUCCAGGCCUUGGAGCUCCGCGGGGGCACGAAGGCCGUCCGCCAUGCUAGCUUUCGCUCACGCCUGGCCGCUAAGGCCAAAAACCAUGCUAGGGCGCGGACAUGUUUCUGGCUUGGCCCGACGUCACGUGUGCUAAGCUGUGCACCUAGCUAUAAAUCUGGAAGCAUCGCUGUUAUAAGGAUACGUGACAUGACAAUUGAACCGUGAACGAGUGAGCACAAAUGUUUCAAACGAGUGUGCAUCGAAGACGCUAAACUAGCCUCAUGUCUUAUUGCAUGAACACUCUAUUUAACACAACAGUUAUUUCUCAUGUAACUAGCACGCCCUCUAAACCUGUUCUGGUUGCGAUUGCCGCUCGUCCUGUGUGUCCAAAAGUUCCCAGGCCAAUUUCUUGAAAGCCAUUUGCGUUGAAUUGAAAUUAUGAGUCUACAAGCGGCACCUCAUGCAGCCAGCAUACGUUUAUCCCGGCCCAGUGCGCUUGCAGGGGUGAAUCGCUCGCGACGACCAGCACGCGGGCAGACCACCUGCAGGGCGCAGCUGGUAUCAGGUGAGAUCCAUGGUUCUCUCUGGGCUACGACGGACGCCAGACGCUGCGACCCAUCCAAGUGUGUUUUCUGACCGUCCUGCGUGUUGGCACGCACACCCCCAGCCACCAACCGCACAACUCUGCUACCAACGACCCCCGAACACCCGGCGCACGACGCACGACGCACAGGCGACUGCUAUGAGGACAUCAUAGACGGCCUGGCCCGCCGCGCCAUCGCCCGCGCGGCCGCUACCUGGCCACCACAACGCGUCGUUGUGGGCGUGGCGGGCGCGCCCGGCAGCGGCAAGUCCACGCUCGCCACCGCCGUCACGCAGCGGAUAAACCAGCUCCAGUCCAGUGAAAGCGACACUGGAGGUAGCAGCAGCAGCAGCAGCAACAGCACUAGCAGUAGCAGCAUUGCUAGCAGCACUAGCAGUAGUGGCAGUGGCAGCGGCGGGCCGUUCGCAGUAGUUCUGCCCAUGGACGGCUUCCACUACUACCGCCGGGAGCUGGACGCCAUGCCCGACCCCAGGGUGGGGGGCGGCUGUGUGUGCGGCCGGGACUGGGUGUGAGGGACGUAGACAGGUGUACGGUUGGUGGUGUGUGUCCGUUUGUGUUGCUGGCAUUGUUGUCCGGGCCCCACACGCGGCGUUCGCUCACAGCCGACCGGCAUGGCGCUGCCGUUGCAAUGCUUGGAUGCGGUGGCUUCGCAUCUCCCAAACCACAAAACCGCCAACCACCACCCACCCGUUCCGCGCGCUGAACUGCCCUCCUCAACCUCCGCUCCCGUGCGGCCGUGCACGUGUGUGUGUAUCGCAGGAGGCGCACGCCCGCCGCGGCGCCCCCUGGACCUUUGACGCCGCCAAAUUCGUGGCGGCGGUGCGUCGGGUGCGCGAGGCGGGCGCCGGCAGCGGUGCUGGUGGCGGUGGCGGCGGCGGCGCUGUGCGGGUGCCCUCGUUUGACCACGGCGUGGGCGACCCCGUGGAGGACGACAUUGUGAUCCCGCCCAUGCCCGCAGCGGCAAUUGUGCUGGUGGAAGGUGAGGAGUGCGAUGUGCGAUGCAGUGCGGUGCAGGUGCACUGCGGUGCGGUGCGGUGCAGGUGCAUUGCGGUGCGGUCCGGUGCGUUGUGGUGCGGUGCGGCGCGGCGCGCUGGCAGCAGCAGGCCUUGUCCUGGUCUUGUCAGCCUUGUGGUUAACGUCUGGCAUAUACUCUGAUUGGCUGCACUCCGGUUGGCUGCACUCGGCUGCGUCCAGCAAUGUCGUAUAUGAACGCCUUGCAACAGGCUGUGUGGUGCCAACAUACCGUAAGUGGCGUGCGUGUGUCCCUCCAGGCAACUACGUGCUGCUGGAGGAGGAGCCGUGGCGGCAGCUGCGGGACCUGUUCGACGAGUCCUGGUUCGUGGAGUGAGUGGCCGGGAGCGGGGAGCGAGGAGGGGGAGGGCUGGAUGGGAGCCUGGGAGGGCGCCAGGGAGGGGUAACCGGACGCCGCCUAUUCAGGCACAAGGGGUGCCCCCACCGACCGGUUAACCAGCCAUGCCCGGCCACCCCUGCCCCUCCCCCUGCCCACCGUGCCCUCUGCCCCCUGUGCCUUGCUCCGCGCCGCAGCUGCCCGCUGGACGUGGCCAUGGACCGCGUGUUCCGCCGCCAGACAGCCAUAGGCCUGAAGCCGGAGGUGGGGACAAGGGCGGCGGGCGGGCCGGGGGCGCGUGUACGUCAGUGUGCGUAAAGGGUGCGGGCCGUGCAUGUGAGGGGCAGGCCGUGGGGCGUGUGUGCGUAUACGCUUUGUGUUCGUGGCCGCACCAGCGCCUGGCAACCGCCGUACCCACUGCACCCGCCUCCACGCCACAUGACCGCUCCUCCAACCCCGCCUUGUGCUCGCCUGGCCCCUGGCCAUUCAUCCCUCAACCCUCGUGCCACGCCCGACCGCAUGCCUGCCUCGCCUCCCCACGCCCCUGCACGCGCACACACGCACACACACACACGCACGCACACACGUACGCAGGUGUCACGUGUGCGUAUCGCCACCAACGACCGGCCCAACGCCGAGCUGGUGGCGGCCUGCGCCCCCGCCGCCACGCUGCGUGUGCCCAGCACCGUGCCGUUCAGGGGCGGCGGCAGUGGAAGCGGCGGCGAGUGAUAACAGCCGGAGCGGCAGCGGAAGCAGAUAGCAGCGGCAGCGGGAGCGAGUAGCGACCAGUGCCGGCGCGUGGCAGCGGCAGCGUGCACCGGUAGAUCGCAGCGAAUGGGCGGCGGUAGUGAUAAUGGCCCGGGUGAUGUGAUUGUGGUGGUGUGACGGUAAGGUCAUGGCUGGAGCCCACCACGGUAGGUAGGGGCAGCUUGAAAGAGCGGACGUGUGCAAGGCUGUUAGGAGUACAGGUCGGCGGAUCAAAGCCACGCACGGGACGCGAAACGCGGGCAGUCAGAGGCGGGUUAGGUGACAUGCCGCGUCGUGGACUGCAAACUAUUGUAACCAAACAUGGUCUAUUUCACGAACCCUUCAGCUGCUUCAGGGCGUGUGCUGCUCCACGCCGCCUCGGACCCAACAGGACUCGCAGCAGCGGCCGCAGCAGGUUGCGAGCAGGGCCCCUGCGAGUCCACUGCCGCAGCCUCGGCCGCGCCUGGUGCCCCCGGAGCCAGCGAGCAGCGCUCGGUGGGACUGUCAGGCGGCGGAUUUUCUGCAGCACUGCCGCCUGCCGCGGCAUUCGUGCGCUGGCUGAUAGCACCGUCACGGACGCCGUGUUGCGAGCGGGCCCAGGCACGGGCGGGCCUUUGAACCGGGCAACGCGCUUCUGUUCUCUGUUGGAGCAGACCCAGCAGCAUGGCUAGCAGCAGGAGCGGCAGCAACAGUAGACAGCAACAGCUCGCGCGCACCAGUGUGAACCUCGGCGGGGCCGCCGCCACGAUGGCCCCGGACGCCCCGGAAGCCGAUGCUGGAAGUGCUGGCGGCGCGGCUGCCCUCUAUCGCGGAAUUUGAGCACAUGUACUGCGAGCUCCCCAGCUCCCAUGGUGUAAUGGUGCCGCCUGCGUGAUGUGUGUGGGAGAGCCAUCGCUGCCGUCCUGGGGCAUGGCAGCGGCGGCGGCGCCGCCGCGGCGGCCAGCCGGGUGAGCGGCAUGUGUGCACAGUUUGUGCGGCUGUGUCAGUGUCGCGCAUCCCAUGCGGCAUGACCUGAUUUGAGCCUGUCGAUGGGUGGCCGGGUGCGCGAGCGCACUCGGUGUAUGUGAACCCGCAAAGUGCCUGCCCGCGUCCCCGCUCCCCAGCAGCAGGUUCUAGAGGCGCUGUGCGAGCAAGCGUCCCUGGCUGGGAGGCUGGAUGGCGAGGCAGGCAGAUAUAGCCGAAGGCCGACGGAGGCGGCUGUGUCGCUUAAGUCUGAAGACGACAGCGGCGGCAACGUCUGUGGCGGCGGCGGGGUCGGAGGGGGCUGCAGUGCUGCCGAAGUCGUGCUGCCGGGCUGGGCGCCAGGCGGCGGCCCGGACGGCUGGACGACGUGGCCGAGGCGGAGGCGCCGCGGAGCUGCCAGGAGCUGCUGGGGCGGGUGGCGGGUGCGCGGGGAGCAGGGGCUGCCCGCCCUCGAAGGCUAGGGGGGCGCUGUGGGUAAAGGUGUUUUGCUUUGGUGAGAGGUGGCUGGUGGGGAUACGCUCUGAUGACCCACACAGCCGUGGAGCGGGCUGCAUAUGAUCGAGUACGUACCACUGUACAAAGAGUACUAGCUCGGAGCUAGUGCCAGGCGAGCAGCAUAGGGAAGGCUCAGGGGGAGGUUCACUGGUUCAGGUUUUGCCGGUUAGCGCAACCUUGCGGCCGCAUGGGCCUGGGGCAGGCGUAUGUGCAUUUGUCCGUGAGCGGCCAGAGCUCAGCCAAGGAGGUGCGGGGGUAUACACGAGCAGAAGGGCCGCGAGGGGCCGUGAGCCUCCGUGAGCUGCCGUGAGUGCCCCUGCAGAGGCCGUGGAUCAGGCCUGGAACUCUUAUUGCUGUUAGCAGCUCAUUAGUGGACUCGUACCGAUUCCCCUUAAGCACGGUCUAAUCUCGGGCGGGGCUUCAACCUGUCCUCCUAGACGUGUUACCACGCAACCCGCAGCAUGCGGUGUGGAGAGCCCACUCUUAUUGCACAAGACCUUCACCGUCCACUACAACAAUGGCGAUCAACCUACAGAACAAACGAAACUAAGAAUAUGUAGUUGGAAGCAUGAAGCGCGAGCAUUGUGCGCCAUUUGCGCCAAAAUGGCUGUGUUCUGUUAUAGUCCCUCUCUUGCUAGCGGUUGUUUCUAUUGUACCAGGGGUAGCAACGGAAACGCUGGAACCUCAAUUCGAUCGAGCGCUGACUGCGGUCAGCGGCGCUGACAGCGAACAUGCUUACAGCCACUCCCUGCGCGAGCCUCUUGACCUAGGCGUUGUCUCCGUCCAGGUAGGUUUCCCAGCCGUUAAGGCCUGACCGAGCACGUUUCGCGCACGGCUGUAGCGAACUUCCUACCGCGCCCGGCCAUACCCCCGCAACACCCAGCUGUACUUCGCUGUGCCUCCCUCACCUGCCACGCAUCCAUCUCAGCCCGCCAUGCCCCCGUCACGCAUUACACUCUUUAAUCACAUGCUAUAUGCCAUGCGCCGCCCAGCUAUGGGCCAAGAUGCCUGUGAUGACGGGCGGCGAGAAGCCGGUGCUGCUGACGCUGUGGCUCCGCCUCAUCGGCCCGGUCUCCAACAUCAGCUUCCUGCAGCCCCACCAGACGGAGCGCUACAGCAGUGAGUGACAGCGGCCACGAAUGCAUGCUUGGGGGCGGGGCUCGGGGUCAGGCAGGCGGGCACGCCAGGCGGGGUCUGGGGCAGGGAGGUUGCCCCGCGGACGCUGUGCACGCUGCACAGACGACUCCGGUACCUUCACGGGGGAUGUCCAUGUGGGUCAGGCUGCCCGUCCUCCUCCUCCUCCUCCUCCUCCUCCUCCUUCUCGGGCUGUGCCGUAGACUGAAUAACCUGCUGCGGUCUCUCCUUGCGCCCCCUCCCGCAGUCCACGGCUUCGGCUGGGCUGAGGACCCCGGGGACCUUCACCGCGCCGACACCGGCCACACCAUGCUGCCCUUCGAGCACAACAUAUGGCUGGUGGGUGGUGCCUGGGUGGCGGGGUGGUGGGGCGUGAGGCGGGGAGGCGGGGUGGUGGGGCGUGAGGUGGGGCAGGGACAGGAGGGGUGGGCGGUGGAGGGACAAGUGGGGUGGGUGGUGGAGGGGCAGGAGCGGGUGGGACAGGCUGGUUGUGUGGAAGCUCGCCGUGUGAAGCUUUCCUGCGUGUGCAUGCGGCGCGGCUUCGGUCUCCACCAACCCCCAAGGCACCGCAAGGCACCUGAGAACCCUUGCGAACCCGCCCCCGCUCCCGCUCCUGCCACCUCCACCACCACCACCACCACCACCACCUCCUCCACCACCGCCCCCCCCCCUCACACACACACACCGCCUCGGCCCCCGCCCCCGCAGCCCAAGCUGGUGGUGGAGACGGCGGACGGGCGCGACGUGCCCGUGACGCACGAGCGCGACCGGCUGCAGAACCACCCCGCGGUGCGGCACGCGCUGAGGCCCUACCACUUCAGCGCGCCGCUGGGCGCCGCCGCGGAGCCGCCCAACCGCUGUUUCAAGGUGCGGCGGAUAUGUGUGUGUGUGGGGGGGGGGUUUGUAGAUACCAGCCCAAACUAAACCUAACCCAAUGCAAAGGAGCGAGGAGAAGAGCGUGGCCUAUGCUUUGACAACGGAGUGGCACUCGACAGUAGUCGGGGGGGGGGAGGGGCCGGGGGAGCGCGGUUUGGGGGAUGGGGCAUCGGGGGUGGGGGCUGGGACGCGGGGAUGCCAUAUUUGUGUUGUGUGAGGUGCAAGCUCUGGGAAGACCGUCCACAGCUCGUCGGUUCCUCCUAAUCUUUCUGCCAGACCACCAUCGCCAUCGCCGGACAACCGCAAUCCUGCCUAGAACCCUCCCCCUCCUCCACACACACCCCACACCGUCAGAUCUACGAGCAGUCCUUCCCCGGGCACCGCACGCCCGUGUGCCUGCCGCCCAACCUGGGCCGCAUGUGCCACAAGCUGGACGCGCGCAGCUCCGACCCGAAGCCACCCGCCGCGCCGGCGCUGUGGGCCGUGCUGGCGCCGCUGCGCAGCGUGGGCGUGCACGGCCCGCGCUGGGAGCAGCACAUGCGCUUCCUGGGCAGCCGCAUCCACAACUACAUCACGCACAUGGUGGGCGGCGGCGUGGGUGGCGUGGGUGGCGGGGGAGGGGGUAGCGGGGGAGGGGGUACCCAGUGGUGUAGGCAGGGGCGGGAAAAUAGGAGGGCGGGGUGUGGCGAACACGUUGGGUUUGGGACUUUGGGUGACGGCGGGCGGGACUCCGCGGCGGAAGUAUGUGGUGCAUGCGCUAACGGCAGGGUCGUACGGCCGGUGCAUUGGCGUGCGGUCGUGCCUUGCUCCCCACGCCUCCCCGUCACGCCGCGCCGCCUCCACGCCCCACCACAGAGCGCCGUGGGCGCCAGCGGUGUGCUGCUGUAUGCGGACCGCAUGACGCGCGCCGCUCUGGAGCGGCUGCCGCGCGUGGUGGCGCACGUGCGCGAGGGGCGGCUGCUGGUGGUGGGCUGGGAGGCGGGCGAGCGGCAGCCGCUGCUGUACAACUACGACCAGGUGGGGGUGCGGCGGGGCAGGGAGGGGUGGCUGUCAUGAAAGACGGAAUGAUUGAACCACAAGUUUGAGGUGCCGACGGCAGCGGGGGAGGGGCACGCGGGGAGGGGCGUUGGGGCGUUAGAGAACGACGCGGUGAUUAAGUCACUUAAGGGUGUGCGCGGGUGGCUGGGGACCGGAGGGGCGGUAAUUGGUUUGGGCGGGGUCGCCACCUCGUGGAAGCAGGCUUGUGUGUUUGGCACGGCCUCGCCGGACGUCUGACACGUGCCCACUGCUGUUCCUGUGCCUGCUGCUCCCACUGCUCCCACUGCUGCCACUGCUGCCACUGCUGCCACUGCUCCCACUGCUGCUGCCACUGCUGCUGCUGUGCUUUUGCUGCUGCUGCGUCAGGCGCUGGUGGCCAGCCACGCCAUCCUGGGCGUGUCCGGCUGCGGCGCCAACAUCGCGCUCAUGCUCGGUGGGUGCGUGCGCGCGCACGCACCCCCCACACGGCUGAGCCCCGCGCAGUCACUGCCUGUCACCGCACCUUUGGGGGGAAGAGGGGGCACGGAAAUGGGCGCGUCCAUACACACACACGCAUUCACACACAUUCUCCUUCUCCCCCAUUCGCGUAUCCACGCCGUCCCCCCUCACCCGCAGGUGACGUGGACGAGUACCUGUACAACGCCUUCGGCCAGCCCUGGCCAGCCGUGUGGGGCUGCAUGCUGCGCUCCGCGCCCGACGCCUACCCCGGCCUGCUGCUGGUGCGGCGCGUGGAUGUGACCAGCAGCAGGGUGCCGGCGGCCAAGGUGCGUGUGCGUGUGUGCGGAGGUGGCGGGGGCGGGGACCGGGGUGGCGGGGCGGGGGUGAGUGGUGGUGGUGGUGCCGCCCCACACAGAGAUCUGGGGAGUAGCACGUGGGCGACAGUAGCACGGCUGGGCUGGGCCAUGCGUAAUGUGGUGGGACUAGGGAGUGUUGAUCUGGUUGGUCCCAUCCCCAUACACCACCAGAGCAAAUCAACUCAUGCACCACCCAUGCACAUAGUUGGGCUGCGCCCGCGCCACAUUGGUACAUGUGUGGGAUGAGCGGGACAGGUGCAACGCUUGCAAGAAGCGCUCAGCAACGCUCACCUGUGACGAUUCUUAGCGGGCCGUCCACGCCUCUAGGGCAGCGAGUGGUGCGGAUGCCGGCUCUAUGGCAGCUGGUGGCGCAGGAAAGAGGGCGAACUGGGACGGGGCGGGGUCUGGUAUGAGCCCGCGAAUGUCAAUCCUGACAAUGGACCCACCCAUGACUCAGCCCCGCCAUCGCCGCCCGCCCGCCGCCUUCCUCCUCCGUACGCGCUCACGCCCCCACCCUCUCGGCCAUGCCUUCGCCCCCUCCCAUGAGUAUUGAAGCUUGCAACUGUCACCUCUGCCUGGGCUCUGCUAGUUUGGCUUGGUUUGGUUUGCUUUGGGCUGGUGUUUGCUACCCCCUUGCCUCUUCGGUCUCUCGGCGCUGCAGGAGGCCGCCUGGUGGGCGCUGCCGGCUCGCUCGCUGGCGCGGCACCCGCUGCUGAUCUACGACCGCAUCGCGCGACACCCACACCGGCCCGAGCUCAGCAAGGUGAGCGGGGGGAGGGGGCGGGCGAGGGGAAGGACGAGGGCAUGGGUGUUUGUGUGGGGUGGGUGGGUGUGAGCGAGGGUGCGUGGGGGCUCAAGCCAGGCUAUAGGCUAUGCCCACGGGUUUGAGUGGUUUGGCGUGCGCGCAAGCGUGCGGCUUUGCAAGCGCCCAGACCGCUCCGCAAUCAACCAGUCCCCUGCCUGCCCAUCCACCCACCCACCCACCCACGCCGCCAACCUGCUUCCCUCACCCAUCCACCACUGCAGAGUGUGGUGGUGCCGGCGCGCCGCGUGAUCAACUUCUACGUGCACGACGGCUUCCCGCUGGCCGGCAGCCGCGGCCUGGCCAACGCCAGCUGCGCCUUCCUGCUGCACAUCAAAAACUACUUCGGGCCGCGGCUGGAUCUGAACACGGUGAGUGGCGGCCGUGGCCGCAGCCGCGGAGGCGGAGGCGGCGCGGGCAGGUGCAUUGGAUGGCGUAGGUGUUGCACAUGGCCAGGCGGCCAGGCGGAAUGGUGAAGAUGGUGAGCGGGGUAGCGCUACCGGGGGUAUUGUCGCGGGCUGGAAGGGGCGCACGACACCAGGCGGCUCCGCGGUCCACGAGGUGUGUGUAUGCGUGUGUGUGUAUAUAUGUGUGUGUAUGCGUGUGUGUAUGUGUGUGUGCGUGUGUGUGUUAUAAAAAAACGAAACGAAAGCCCGCCCAAGGUGUGUGUGUGUGUGUGUGUGUGUGUGUGUGUGUGUGUGUGUGUGUGUGCGUGCUCAAAGCCGGGGCCCGGGCCCGGGGCCGGGGACCUCCGGGGCCGGGCACAUGUGUUUGCCGCCUCGCGCAGUGCCGGCUGCCGCUCCAUUUCCCCUUGCCCCCGGCCCUGUCAACCGCCCUGUGCUGCCGCCACCCCCCCGGACAGUCGGCCGAGGCCUUCGCGCCCUUCAAGCUGGCGGCGCCCUGGGCCGCAGACACCGCGCUGCUGCCUGGCGGCGGUGGCGGUGGCGGUGGCGGUGGCGGCGGCGGUGGCGGUGGCGGUGGCGGCGGAGCCCGGGUCCGUGGUGGCGGCGGCGGCGGCGGCGGAGGGGUGAUGCGGCGGCGCGAGGCGGUGCAGGGUGGCGGCGGCGGCGCUGACGCCGGCUUCCAGGCGGCCACGGCGGCGGCGGAGGCGGAGGACGCUGCGGAGGCCUUGGGCACCGCGGGCGCCGCCACCACCACCACCGCCGCGGCCGCCGCGGCCAUCGCCGCCGCCGCCGACACCGCGGCGGCCGACAUCGUUGUGCCGCUGCCUCGGGGCCAGGGCGGCGCCGCUGCCACCACUGCCACCACCGCCGCCUCUCUGGACGCGGACGCGGACGCGGCGGCGGACGCCGCCAUCAUUGCCGCGGAGCGGGAGGACCACGGCCUGGGCGAUCAGGGGCCGCAGGGGCUGGAUGCGGCGGCGGCGGGGCUGGACAUGCCAGGGCUGGGCGCCGCCGGCGACGGGCGCCUGGACCACACUAGCGCCUCCGACCCAAGCAUCGUUGUGAUGGCGGGAGGCGGCGGCGGUGGCGACGGCGAGGCGGUGGACGUGUUGGACGGGCUGCAGGGCACGGAGGCGCUGACGGCGGAGGCGUUCGCAGAGGUGCAGAAGGCUGCUGGCGUGGCUGGCGCGGUGGGAGCAGGCGGCGGCGGCGGCGGCGGCGGCAUGAGCCUGGAGAGCCAGGACGCGAUGGCGACCGGGCAUCUAGAUUUUGGUCUGGAGUGGAGCGAGGAGGUGUGGAAUGCAGCUGAGGCACACACCCAGUAGACGGGGGCUUGAGGCGCCGGCGCGGAUGCAAAAAGGCGGGGCUGCGGCGGCGGUUGACAGGGCUCACGCCACACACAGGGUUGGGGUUGCUGGCGGCGGGCGCCGCUGUGAAGUGGCACCUGCCGCCGCCGGCCGCUGCGGGGUCGCUCGCAAUCGGGUGAGGCAAUGCGGCAGCCGGGGCCGCGGGACAGCAGGAGCAGCCACGGGCAGAUGCAGUAGGCGGCGCCGGCAGCAAUCAAGUCAUGGGGCAGCGGCCAUGCGCGGCGUGCUAGGCACAAUAUGAGGAGGCGUCAUGGAGCUUCAAGGCCUGUGUCGCCGCGGACGGUGCGCCGUGCAGUCCCAUGGCUGCCUCAGGCACCGCAGUCGCUGCCGCCGCCGCCGCCGCCUGCUGAUGCGCCGGGGCUCUCAAACAUACAUACUUACAUACUUACUUACAUAUAGACUCGCUGUUGUUGCAACCUUGCAAGGAGCAGCGUGCGCGCGCGUGUGUUUUGCAUCGUUUGUACGCGCGGGUUGUGCCUGCGCAACGCGAUCGGCACGUCCACAGGCAACGCUCCAUCUUGUGAUCAGGUUAGCGUGUUACGGUACUUCAAGCCUACGGCUCUUAUGGGGAUUGCGAGUGAUAGUCCAAGUGCAUAGGAGGCUGCGGAUAGUUAGGCGUGUGCAUGCGGUGGGCGUAAUUUGCGUGCGAAUGGUGGGCAUGGGUGGGUGCGUGCGCGGGCGGGGCGGGUGGGGGCAUGGGCGUGCGAGUGUGCGAGGUAUUUAUCCGGAUCCCGUUGUGGAGUGAGCGCGAUGGGACAGGGUAAGAGGCCGGUUGGCGUAGUCCCGCGUACCGUAUUCUGAGACCCUAGCAGUCAAUAUCCAACUUGCGACGUCAAAGGCAUGAGCGCGCAACUGUUACAACGCCGGAGUUAUUCUACUUCUGUACCGAGACAUCGCUGACUUGCUGGCAUGGCUGGCUGGCAGGCUGGUACCGGCUUACUUGGGUACCGGUCGUUUGCUGACGCGCAUUCCUCAAUCCUCACGCUCUGGGCGCCCGGCCAGGAGAAAGGCGCGCACACACACACACACACACACACACACACACACACACACACACACACACACACACAGCAACGGCACACUCGUGAAGCAGAGUCGGCGAGUCGCGUCACCCCUGCAGGCAGGCGACCAGCGUCCACGGAUGAGCGCCCAUUGAUAAACACCAGGAAGAUGCAAACAGUGCUCGUAUCUUCCAUCUACACUGUAGAAAUGUGCCCAAAAUCCGCCGAAGGCGGAGAAAUGUUUUGGGGCUGGGUGCCGCGCAUCUACGCAGGUGUAGACGUUCUUGGCCGGUUUUGGCGCAAAAAUGGGGGAAGCGUAGACGUUUUGGGGGGCUUGGGGGCUUAAGUGUAGAUGCCGCGGUCAGGGUCAUCUACGCAUGUGUAGAUGCCGGGUGCCUGAGGGCAUCUACAAGAUACGAGCACUGGAUGCAAACAGGCUGCAGCACAGCAGUGGCCGGGCGACUGUGUGACGGGCAGGGGCAACAGCAGGGCGCGGCAUGCUGACAAGGCAAAAGGCAUAGCCUAGGCAGAGGCGAUCCCGCGAACGGCGCGGCACACACACAGCCUGACGUAGGCCGGCUGCACGCAGGGGGAUGCACGGGCGCCUGCUUAGACGCCUGCUAGGGUACUGUUUGGCGGAUUUGGCUCCGUGGCUGUGGACGUGUGAUGGGACAGUGGUAAGGCAAGUUGGCAAAGUCCCGUAGGGCGCAGCUGAUUCCCAUACCCAGCAAAUGGCAAACAAUGGGCAGCGGUAGGGCAAGAGUGCGCGGCUGGUCGAACGCCGGAGUUACUGUACCGACGAGUUGCUGGCUGGCUGGAAGUUUGCUGACGCGCAUUCCUCACGCUCCGGGCGCCCGGCCAGGCGAUAGCACCACACAGACACACCGCAACGCCACACUCGCGAGGUAGAGCCACAUCGCACCUGCAGAAAGGUGACCAGCGUCCACGGAUGAGCACGAGAGGCAGCCGCAGAGAAAAUGCAAACGGAAUGCAGCAAAGCAAUGGCCGGGCGACAGUGUGGCAAGCAGGGGCACAAACAGGGCGAGGCAAGGCAGAAGAGGGCGCCCGAAUGUACGGAUGAGUGGCAAGCAGGGGCACAAACAGGGCGAGGCAAGGCAGAAGAGGGCGCCCGAAUGUACGAAUGAGUGGCGGGCGAGUCGAAUGCAAUUGCGAGACGAACACAACCGGAGUGUGAGGAAGCGCCGCGGGUUGGAAUUGGGAAUGCCGUGGCUGUGGACAUAUGGCGCAGCUGGCGCAGCGCUACGUUGUGCAGGGCCCAAACGAACAAGUGCUGGUGGUGGCGUGGCGCCCAUGGGCUGGAGGAACACGGAUUGGGAGCAGCUUGAGCGUCUGAUGCAUGGAGCACCUAGGCCAGGGGCAAGAGUGCUCAAGGGUGAUAGGGAAUACUCAUGUCGCGAUGUGUAACAGGGUCUGAAAGUGGCAGCAUCCUGCAGCCUCGCAUGCCGUUCCUUCCAGGCGUCUCUGCGGCGUUCACUUGCGCGCUCGUACAGACGCACACCCACCUACCCAACAGUAGCCACAACCGCCCAACUUGCUGCCCAACGCCGCAUGGCCGGACCGCCUUGGCAGCUGCCAAUGCAAGGGCGGGGCUUUCCAAAAGAUGCAGUGUGCGUAGCUGCCACCCGGCGCGAUGUACCCGUAAACCCGUAAAACCUGCAUCACACUGCCAGCCGUCAGCCCGAAACGUUCACGCCACGCCCCGCCACGCCAAUGCCCCGCUAGCCUUCCCACCCUUCCAUUCCACCACGUCCUCCACCACUUCGCUCCGCAACCUCCUCCGUGCCACCACCACCUACCACCACCUACCACCCGCCAUCCCCACGGCAGCUGCAACCGCGCCGUCGAGGUCAUCCCCAUCCCCCACCCCCCCAGACUGUCAACCGUCUACCACUUCCUUAACUAAUUAUGAAUGCAAUUCCCCGAACACCCGCUACGCCGCCGCCAGCAGCUGCUCAAAGUCCAGGCCGCCCCCCGCCGCGCCGCGCCCGCCAGCCGCCGCCGCCGCCGCGCCGCCGUCCUCGGGCCGCGGCUCCAGGUCUAUGAGUGUGGCGGAGCGCGCCGCCAGCUCGCCAAUGGCCACGCGGCCGCGCUGCCGGAUGUAGUCGGCCACGGCGCCCAUCUCCUCGCGACUGAUGUAGAUGUACUGCCAGGCGGGAGAGGAGAGGUAUAAGUGGGAGGGGAGAGGUGCAGGGGAGGGGGUGGCAGGGCAGCCACGGGUUCCAGGCACGAUCAGGACUGUGGCCGCCAGCACCGCAAAGACCAGCAGCGUCACCCGCACCACCUGUUACUCGGCAGCCAGUUACUCCCACACUUCCAACACCUGCUCCUGCCUCCAACAUACCCCUCUUGCCCGUUGCCCCUGCAAUCCAGUCAGGGCCACCCCACCGCAUCCCAUCCCAUCCCGUACGCAUCCCCCGCCCCGCCCNNNNNNNNNNNNNNNNNNNNNNNNNNNNNNNNNNNNNNNNNNNNNNNNNNNNNNNNNNNNNNNNNNNNNNNNNNNNNNNNNNNNNNNNNNNNNNNNNNNNCCAGAACUGCGGCACCAGGACUUUACCCAUACCGAUACCACGUCGGACGUGACUGUACCGCUACGCGCUACUCACAAUCCCACUGACCCCCACACACCACCCCACCUGCCCGGACGGCCCCUCAUUUGUUGCCGACUUCAGUACCAUACAUCCUGUGCCGCUUUCCCAACCAUCUUUCCAAGUUCCAACCCUACCCCGCCCCGCCCCCGCCCCCGCGCCUUACCUUGCCGCGUUCGUCCAUGACGCCCGUGAGGCGGCCCGCCUCCUCCAGCUGCCGGAUGCGGUCGAUGGCCUCGCUGGUGCGCAGCCCGAACUGCAGCGCCAGCGCCUCCAGCGGCACCGUCUUACGCCCCUUGAUGAAGUCCACAAAGGCCGCCAGCAGGCUCUCAGCCGCCGCACCCGACUCGUCGCCGUCUGUGCAGGUGCGUGUUGUUUGAGGGGGGAAGUUUUAUUUGUUUUUACCAAACCCAAAGGGGGCAGGGGUUAGCCGUCCAUGCAAAGCGGAGCCGUCUGAGCGGGGGUUCGCGCACUGGGGGCAGGGGCAGGUCAUGUCCUGGCCCUGGCUCUAGAUCACAUGGCGAAGCCACCCGCGCCACCGCCGCACCACCGCCCGCUACGGCCGCUGCCGCUUCCGGGGCGAUCGCCGCGGCCCCAUCGGCAACACAUCACAGGGGCACAGCGUCCAAACGGCCCGGGGCCUGGAACCACGCCACGCCACGCCACGCCACGCCACGCCGCGGCCGGCCGCCCCACUCACCCUCUCCCUGCUCCUCCACACUGAUCUGCCCCAUCCACUUGGCCGCCUCCUCCUCCUCCCGCCGCGCCCGCUCCUCAGCCGCCCGCCGCAUCUCCUCCUCCUGUGUGCGGGGAGGGCGGGGAUUCCAUCGUCAGGGUUCCAGGCAUACAUAGGGUUCCAGGCAUACAUAGGGUUCCCGGCAUGACUUGAUGGGCGAUGGGGAGCAGGGGCGGGGCAACUCGUUCAGGAACACGGGGCCGGGCGGAACCUGGACCGGCAACACAUGUCAGGCCGGGUCUUGCCAAUCCCACCCAUCACCUUUCCCUUAGCAUGCAUGCUUUCCGAUCCCGCCUUUAUCACCGUAUCUGGUACCGGGUCUCUUAUCCCGUGUGCGGUGUGGGCGUGCCAGUGGCCGCCCACCAACACGCACAUCAUAGCACCACCCGGCACCCGCCCACCUGCGCCGCCUCUUGCGCCUCGCGCUCCGCCUCCCGCUUGGCCCGGCGCUCCUCGUACGCACUGCGCUUGUUCAUCUUGGCGUCGGCAGCGGCGCGGUCCGCCGCCGCCGCCUCACGCCGCGCCGCACGGCGAGCUGCCCGCCGGUCCAUCGGCGCGUCGGGCUGCGGGGGGGGGGGGGCAGGAAGGGAGGGGCGACAGCGUUGACAUGUGGGAAGGGUUGCUGGCGGUCUGGCAUCCAGCCGGUUUGGCACGAUGGUACGAUAAGAAGGGAGGGGGUGCGCGGAGCUGCCGUGAUAGGGUAAAAGGUAGCGUGCGAGGUAGCUCGCACAGUACACCGCGAUGACAGGCCGGGCGUGCCAAGGAGGCGUGCGGUGCGGUGUUUGACGUUGAGAGGGCACGAUUGCCGCCAGCGCCCAACCCCAACCCCAAGCGGCCCCACUCUCCACACCCAGCCGCUUACGUCCUCAUCAGAGCCGCUGCCACUCGCGUCCUCGGAGUCCUCAGCCGCAGGGUCCACGGCUGGCUCGCCCUGCCGCUGAGCUAGCCGUUGCCGCAUGCCCGCCCGCAUACGAUCCAUCGCCGCUUGCCGACCGCCUGCAGGCGCUGCGGCCCGCGCAGCAGCGGCGCCAGCCUGUGCACAUUGCGCGUAUGUAGAGCUGGCGUUCAGUAGCUAGCAAGGACGUGAGCAGAUAGCGAGGCUAGACAAAGUAAUGCUUCUUUCCUCCCAGCUCGCCUGAUUCCGCGUGGGGGCUGGCUUGCCGUCUUCAUCCUCCUCUUUCUUUGCACUUAUACUUGUGCGGAUAGUGAAGAAUGCAAGACCCGCAAGUGCCGCAAGAAGGACCACAGCCGCUAGUACUACAGGCAGCAUUGUUAUUUAUUAUUGGUAAAUAGUUAAAUAGAUUCAGAUCAGCACCUGCGCUGGAUGUUUGGAGAACACUGCUUAGGUCUUAGGUCUAGGCCAUUCAGCAGCGUGGCGAGGUCUUUAGCUAAGGGAGUUUCACUAACAAAAGUAAGACAGAUGUGGAAAGGCAAGUUUCAUGAGCAAAACAGUGCACAUGCCGCAAGGCAGGCAAACCAGGCCAUCCCACUGCCAAAAUCUGUCGUCCCGCCACCCACCCGCGCAUCGUGUCUGGCCACCUUGAUUCAGCCACCGUGCCCCGUCCUGAUUGUGCCUGACGGAGAAGGAAGUUUACUCGAGGGAUUGGCGCACUGCAUUGUCUCUCACUUGCAGAAGCGCAUGUGGUGCCCCAACCGCAGCCAUUCUUAGCCAUGCCACAUCAACGCUAGUCCUCACUUGUCCCGAGAAUCCCAUUCAUCCCUCUGCAUCUUCUUAAGCGUGCGCUGUGCGAACGCACCUUGCAAUUCUCCUGCGAAUGCUUACUCUGACACCCCACGUGCGCCCUCCGUCCCUCCGGCACCCGGUCAAACGCGCCCUGCACGCAUCGGCAGCAACAGCGAAGGCUGCAGCAACGCCCGAGCUCUUAAAACCCGACAAACACGUAAGCCAACCAUGUACUAUGUCCGCCGUCCGACCAUGUGCACCCUGAAGACAUAGUGCACAGACCCACAGAUCCCGCUAGACGCCUGAGCUUGAGAAAGCCCGUCGUCCAGCGGUCGGUUCCUGUUGCGUACGGCCUAGCAAGAGGGAAUCGGGGCCCGAUACAGCACCCGGCUUGCAGGGGGGGGGGUAGUUUCGACUGGGAAAGGCCCCAUGUUCUAAAACGAAAGAGCUUGACGAGAGGACUCCAAAUCCACUUUCAGAGUUUCAAUCAGGGUAGUAAUUGCAAAGUUAUGGGCCCUCAAAGUUCAGGGUCGGUCGUCGGGGUUGGGGGUCCCCAAGGUUUCGUCACGCGGAUGUGGGUGGGACUGCCAGAUUUCGUCUCUGCGCCCUAAACGCCCCUCUAAACGCUCCGCCCAUUAGCACAAGUACUAGCACACAUUAGCAUGCACAUACUAAAGCAUUUGCAGAACGUUUGGCCUCUGAAAAGCGGCCACAUGUCCGUCCACAUCGGCAUUGUAGUAGCGUAGAGCCCCACUCGGGCGUCUCUCACUGGUGUCAUGGAGACUAUGCGAUCUGAUGCUAACGUGUAACGGCCAAGGCUUCGUGUGGGUCAUGGCGACAAGGCUGCCGCUGGCCAUCGAGCGUGACAUGAAUCCCGGGAUUCUUCACAUGAUCCCGGGAGAAAGUCGACCAAUCUCUUCCGGCACACAAUCCCAAACAGCAUAUUUACAGCGCAAUUGUAAGCUUAAGCGCACGCCUCGGUAGUCUGACAGAAGGGUCGGUGGUCGGCCAAGGACACAUGGACAUGUGUGGCAUGGCUGCCAGUCAAGUUGUGCCUCCAGCUGAACCGGAGGUAUACAAUUGUAGAGCUCGCCGAGAGCAGUCGAUUGACACCGACCUGGCUAAAAACCAAAGGGUUUUGAGGGGUUGCACGGUGGUGGGGGUCGGUCGGUCGGUCCGGAGGGGGGGUCGCGAGGUUUUGGGACAUGGGGUCUGGAGGUUUAGUUCGUACCCCCCCCCCCUGCGGCUUGCACCCGAUGCGCCGCGGCCGGCGCCUUUGUCCUCGUCUUGAGGAUCUCUGUACCGGGUGGGGGCACGCGCAGCUGUGCGCUGUGCCUGUACCAUGUCGUGCCUCCUCAUGCCGUCGCAUCACUCGACAGAGGAGGCAGUUUCCAAUGGAGCCGCAAUCAGACACCCCGACUCAGCGUCACCCCACCGCGCGGCGCCCGGCGCUGGUGUUGCCGCGGGUUGGGACACACAGCUGCGCAGCACAGCGCAGGGCAGCAGGCGCGAGUCAUGCUGUACAACAACACUACCAGAACCCUUCAACGUACCAUAGUCCAACACUCGAAACGAGCCGUGCCAUUCUUCACAAAAGCCGGGGGCAGGGCGGCGAGAGGUGGUGCACCAUCGGAGCCGCCGGGGCCGCACCCGCACCCGCACCCGAAUUUGCGCAUCGGGUCUGAAGCGCAACAAUCCUCCUGUCAUGCGCACGUGUUGUAACACAAACCCCCACCACCCCACACACACCGGCACCCUGUGCGUCCUUCUCAUGAGCCCAUCUCCUCAUGCCCACACCAGGGCAGAUGUCAUCAGUAGCUAUUUAUAUGUCUUGCCGAGGUGCCUAAAUCAUGCACGGCCGUCUUCCAGGCAUUCUCCGAGAUCCUACGCCCAGUCCCGCUUUUUUGUUCAUGGUGCACCCGCCACUCAUCACUACAGCUGGGCCGGCACGGCUUGUACUCACGCACACAUGUACUCCGCCCCCAACGCAAUGAAAGGUGACGAAAUUUCUCUCUCACUCUCAAGGCACUCAAAAAGCGCGCUUCUUCCUCUCUCCGAGCGCUCUACAAGACACAGCAUGGUUGCUCUACGGCGAAGGCCACAGCCUAACAAUGAGUAUCAGACAAAGGCUUCAGGCCUGAAAGGCCAUGCUCUUGCGUAGGACUGACCAACAGCAACAGUUGAUGGUUCACCCCGGCCCUUAGUUCCCGUGAGCUCAGCUGAACAAUUCUCACACACACACUCUCUCUCUCUUGGUGUAUCCAAGACGUACCAUGCAAAGACAUAUCAUGUGGACAAGAAAGGUGGCUUUCCCUCGAAGAAAGCCCACGCAGAAAGCCCACGCUAGAAAAAAUGUCGACCGACCAACAACCGCGUGAAGCCACCACCACCUGCGCCCUGCCGUGUACCAAUGUCGCCCUCCAGCCGCAUGCCUUGUGUGUGCCGCUUGAACAUGCAAGGAUCGCACAUACUGACAAAGGAUACGCACCAGUGUGGGCCCAGCCCGCGGCAGACGCACGGCCGCUGUGCGCGGACAUUGCUGCGCUACAACGCUCAAACGUCACUACCCACGGGCGGUCAUGAUCAUGUACUAAUUGCAGUACCAUGGCAGUGACAUGCAAGCAGCCCUUUGCAGCCCGACCGCGGCUAAGAGGAAACUGAGGAUGUGAAAAUCGUGCAUUCCAUAACUCACUGCGACGGGCGUCAAACUCCACCCCGCCUUUCAUCCAUCUCCGGCCCCCCGUACUGUGCACCCAUCCGAACCCCCGUACCGCGCACCCAUCCGACCCCGUGCUCUUCUUGGGCAGGCGGCCUGCCCACCCCGCUCGUGCUCACGCACACGCGCCCCCACACGUCGCGGCGCUUCCACCGCACCGCCCCCAACUUCUCAACCCAACCAACACAACCACCCAGCACCAUUACUGCACCCGUGCGCGCUUGGGCGACGAGCCUGGCCCCGCCGCCUCCGCGGCCGCCGCCACUGCGCCCGCCGCCGCCGCCUCCAACAGCUCCCGCGCCAGCGCCGGGCUCUUGUCCUCCAGCUGCCGCACGCUCUCCGCCGCGACGUCCAUGACCAGGUCUCGGUGGUUGACGUACCAGCUCUUGAGCUCGCGCAGCAUCUCCGACGCCGCCGCGCCCAGCCGCUCCGCCCACAGUAGCGUGUCCACCACCGUCUCCGGCGUCACCGCCGCCAGUACCUGGGAGCAAAGGGGAGAGGAGGAGAGAGGUGAGUGGAUGGGUGGGUAGGCGCCAGGCCGCAGCGUGGCAUGUAGGCAUUCUGCAGUCCUGCUGCGUGGUGGGACGAUACAUGGCAUGGUGUGCAAUGACGCCGUUUGGAAGGCCCGUCCCGACAUGACCCACGGCCUGCAACCCACGCAGCGUGCAAGCCGUACCUGUGACUGCGCCGCCCGGCACAGCUCCGGCGGCAGCAGCAGCCGGUCCGCCAGCUCUGCCACCGCCUGCGCGUGCGUGGCGGGGAUGACUGUGGCGCCCGUGUACAGCCAGCGCAGCAGCAGCGCGAAGGCGUCGGCGUCCGCGUCCGGCAGGUCCAGCUGCCCGGUGCUGCCGCCGCUGUCCGCCAGCCGCUGCCGGCAGUAGCCGCUGCAGGCGGCAAUGACGCCCCGGUGCACUGAGAAGCUGCGGCUGCCCACCACGAUGGUGAGGUCGGCGCUGCCCGGCUGCCAGCGCCCUGUGGAAGCUGACGUGGACGCCACCGCGCCGCUGCCGCCCGUGGUCGCCACGCCCGGCGGCGUGUGGCGGCGGCCGCGGCUGGCGGCGUUGCCGUUGCUUUUCCCGCUGCCGCCGCCGCCGCCGCCCCCGCCGCCGACCAGGAAGGUGCCGGCGGCGGCGCCGCCCAUGGCGUGCACGCCCAACGCCGCGGCGGCGGCGGCAAUGGCCGCCGCCACGCACGUCACCGCGGAGGGAUGCCCCAUGGGCGGCCGCGCGCCCACGUCCACCAGCAGUAGCAUGCCUGCCGACGCCGUGGUGAGAGUCAGUCAGUCGUCAGUCACAGAGGCGAUGUGGUGUUACGGAGUGAGAUUGAGGUGAGGGGCCAGGCGGGCAGGACCGGCGUGAGAUCCGUGUCGCGUGCGCUGCGGCGCACACAGCCCGCCCGCCAACCCGCUUUCCGCGCCUCCCACCCGCAGCCCAGUGCAAGGCAACGCCCACGCCACGCCACCCGCCCCGUCCAACCCCGCCCUGCCUCCCGCCCCCUUGCAAUAACACACACCCCACGCACCCUCCGGGCAGCGCUCGUCGCCGUCCCACUCCUGCCAAUUGUCGAAGCCGUUGUCGAAGGGGUCGCUGCACGCCACCAACACGCCGUUGUCCAGGAUGGCGGGGCAGCCCAGGAUGUUGCCCGUAUUGCCCCAGCCGCUGACCUGCGUUUGCACCGUGCAACCCGGCAGCGGCGCGUUCGCCUAUAAAUGUUGGGAGGCGAACGGGCAGCGGUGCGUGAAGGGCGGCGUGUGGGCUUGCGGUGGGUAUGCGUGUUCUUAUGCGUAUGCUCUGGCAAAGGCGUGCGCUUCAGCCGCAGCCGGCGAGGUGCCCGACAGCACAGGGCACCCGAGACCUCUGUCGCUCACGUGCGCCUGGCACGCCGCGUCCGGCUCUGUGCAAUUAACCGGUCCGGAGCAUGUGAGUGCCGUCUGCCGUGAUUGUGCCGUGAUCGCACGCCCCAAAGACGGGCUGUCCGCAGGGUCCCCGGGCCGACUAGGUGCGCCGCUGCCGGCACAUUGCCAUUCCUGCUCCUCCCCCGGAGACUCGCAGCCUCGCAGGGCCACCCGGCCCGUCCCAACAAAGACCAACCCACGACUCACCACCGGUAGCAGGCCGUUUGUGCAGCAGGACAUUUUGUAAAUGUGGCGGUCAUAGAAGGAGCCGUUGUCGAUGAUGUAGAUGUUGCCGUCAGCAUCCACACACACGCCGCCGAUGGCGGAGAAGCGCGCGUCCGCCGCCGCCACCUCCGGCGGCGGCGUGUCGGGCGACUCCUCGUCCUCGUCCUCAUCGCGCCCAUCCAACGCCGGCGUGGCACUGGCGUCACCCUCGCGCCCGCUGUCCCCGGCAUCCCCGCCCCCAGGCGCGCUGCUGUUGACCUCCCGCCCCUCGCUGCCCCCUGACGCGGUGCCACCGGUGCCCCCUGCAUCGCCCGUGCCGCCGGUCCCGCCCGUGCCGCCGCCCGUGCCCGUGCCUGUUGCGAGCGGGUUGCCGUCCGGCCCACUGGCGGGCGCCCGCUCGCCCUCCUUCCCCGCGACAAGCAGCAUGACUGGCGGCUGCGGAAUGGCCGCGAUGGCGGCAGCCGCAACCGCUGCAGCGGAUGGGAGCGCCGCGACCGGCACCCCAGAGCCCGCCGCGACCGCCGCCACGGCAGCUGCGGCCGCAGCGGUGGCUGCGGCCGCGCCGGCUUCUCUCAACUGUGACAGCUGCCGCGACCCCUCCGCCUGGCCGCCUGCUCCUGAUGGCCCCUGCGCGCCGCCGCUGCCCGUAUUCCCGCUGCCGCUGCCCGCGCUGCCCCCAUCGGCUGCCCCGCCUGCCCGAGCGCCCGCCUCGCCCUCUUCAUGCUCCGUUGCGGCACUGACUCCGCCGCCGCCCGCCGCUGCGCCGCCGCGCGGCGAUGACAGCUGCGGCAGUCGGUAGAUGGCGGUUGGCGUGGAAAACAACAGGCUCUCGCUGCGUGCGUCCCAGGCCAGGCCGGUAAUGUCGGUGGAGGGCGCGGCCGGCAGCAACAUCGACACGCGCACUUCCGCCGUUUCCGACGCGCGCGAGGUGGUGCUGGUGGUGGUGGAGGCGGAGGAGGCGGUGUCAUGCCGCGGCCGCUUGCCGUGCGCGGUGGCGUGCUGCGGGCUGCGGCGCGAGCCCUCUGCGCCCGGCACCGACGCGCCGCUGGUGACGCCCGCGCGCCAGUCGUCCGGGAGUGUGAGCUUUAGAAUGGCGCAGCGCGCCCGGCCCUCGUCGCCCGUAACCAGGUAUACGUUGCCCUGGCCGUCGCUGGCCAUGUGCAGGAUGUGCGUGAAGCCCGCACCCGCGUUGGCGGCGGCGGUGGCGGCGGCGGCGGCGGCCGCCGCCACGCCCGGGUCUGUGGAGGCCACGGUGGCGCUGGCGGCGGCGGCGAGGGUGGUGGAGGUGUAAUGCUGCAGGUAGGCUCGGAUGGCGGCGGAGUCGAUCACCUCCGUCACCACGUUGGCGGCGUCGAGGCGGACCACGUUGCAGAAGCGCGGCCAGCCGGCGGGGUCGCGCUCCGCUUCCGCCAUGAGCACGUGCCCGGUGAAGGGGUCAUAGCAGGCCGCGCGGAACCUGUGUCGGCGGGCGUGCAGUGUGGUUGCGAUGGCGGGUGCACGGAAGGGGGCAGGGGAGCAGAGCGGAAGAGCUUUGGCGCCAAAGGGUGAGGAGUGCCACAAGGCGCGGCAGGGCGCGCACCAUGCAUUUUGCUGGCCAAGCCCUUCCGCGCCCGGCGACCAAUGAUGUAGGUUUGGUAUGCAACAGCGCUCUGCUCGCGGCGCAAGCGCCGGCGGCGCAGGGCCCUGUGCGGAUAUGUUGAUGUAACACCCCGCGAUCGCAACGCCAGCCAGAGCCCGCUCACCAAGGCCGCAGCGGGCGCAUCCGCGGUCCUUCGCGCUUGCUUGUCGACUGGCAUACGGGCAGUCGUUGCGCGUCCACUCUCCCGCCGGCUAGCUUGACCGCGUCCACCGUCCCGCGGAAACCUGCGAAUUGCACCCAAAGGUUAUACAGACCCUCAGCCCGAGCCCACCGCCGCCAAACUUACCGAUGCCCACUUGUGCGCCCUCCGCGCGGCUUAUCACUUGCGCGUAGCCGCCCUUCGUGAACCCCGCCUUCUGGAAAUGAAUCUCCACGGAGGCACGCUGAGCGCGCAUCGCUCGUGCGGCAUAGCGAUGCCCCGAAUAGUGCAUAAAAAGGAUGCGACACUAGUCGCAUGAAACAAACUCCCACGACGCCUUGGCCUUGAUAUUAGACGCCGCUGUGUCAGCGUCAAGUCGCAUGAAACAAAGACUGUUGCCGAUGCCUCAGCCUUGAUAACAGUAGCUGGCUCUGCGCAAGUCGGAGUCAGAGUCUAACGUUUGCCUGCGCUGGCUGCCCACGCCUCCUCCAGCCGCACUCUUUACCUUAUUUAGUACAUAGAGAUUCAGUGUUAAGUUGAUAGGCGAAGGAACCAAGGAAGGAGGGGCCGGUAUGAAGGAGUAUCACUGCUCGUAUCCGAUCGGCGUUUUGUCAACUGUUUGGUCAACGCCCUGGGUGAUACACUCCGAACGAAAAGCGAGGAUUGCUCUGAAGGAAAUCCCCGGAAUGCUUAAGCAACGCGAACGGCCAGAACUCGAGAGAAUGAGAGGAAUCCGCUCCGCACACAUUCAGCACGUCCCUCCCAACCGGUUUGGGUUUUGCCCCGCCCCCGCCGGGGUACUUCCAGAAUCACGCGUGUCCCUCAGGCUGGGGCCAUCAUUGGGCUCGGUGCACGCGCACCAACACUGGUGCACGUCACGGCCAUGUCCACGUCCUAGACAUCCAACUCACGCAUCCUAGCGCAACUCAAGCUGCCGAAGCCAUCUACGUUAGCACCUGCAACGGCCACGUCCCCCCAUCAGUAGACAGGCGCAGGAGCGAAGCACUCUCCACAGCUGCCGCGCUAUUCCGCACCAUCUGUCUAGCACGCAUGGCCCACAGCCACCAACACACAUGCUUGCCGGCUCAGCAGCCGCCGCAGUACAGCCUGCAUGGGGGCGGGGGGUGGGGCAGCGGGGCAGUUGUUGUUGUGCCUGACCCAAACCUGCCAUUCCUGCAUGCCACCCCAAACCUGCCAUUCCUGCAUGCCACCCCAACCCUGACCCAAGCCUGCCCAAAACCUGCCAUCCCAAACCUGACCCCAUUAUCCCCCCCUCACCAGAACGGACAUCUCGAUGUUACGGGUUUGGGGCAUGAUGCGGGCCUUAGGCGACUCGCGCGCUGCAGGCAGGCAGGCAGGCAGCAGGCAGCAGGCAGCAGGGUGUCGUGUCAUUCUGCCGGUUAUGAUUGUCUCCGCCACCUGUCCCGAACUGGGUUGCGCAUGCACUCUGGCCACCUGUGUUAAACCAGGCUAGGCAUAGACAUAACCUAGCUGGCCAGGCGAGGACGCUGCUUCACUGCUGGAGGAAUAUGCGAGUGCGGGUUUGCUGGGACAAUGGAUCGCCGUCGCAGUCCCCGAGUUGUGAGAUACCCCGGUGGUUCUCACUGGGCAUGCCCUCCGAUUGCUAGCUGGUCCAAACGCUAGUCUUGCCUGCCGCUGAACACGCCUUGGCGUUCUCGCUCCCGCAGGUGAUCAGUCUGCUCUCAGCGAGUCACAAGAACUACACAUUAGUCGUCGUAAAGCCAAUAUGGAGUAACAGCGGACAGUGCCGCUCACAGGCGUCACUGCCCGCUACGUGCGCCGACCAACUGUACGGCAACUUCUCACUCGCACCUUUCUCUCAGGCCGAUAGCAGGCAAGGUUAAUUAAGUCCACACGCAGUCACACACGCGACACGAAACCCUAGGCUCCCGUUGGCUUUGGGUUUUGGCCCGCCCCCGCCGGGGUACGUACUUCCAGCAUCACGCGUGGCACGCGAAAAGGAGCGAUACCGGCGCGGCUGAGAGAAUCUGUGGCAAUUCGCAGCGCCCGAUCGCAGCACCCGAUCCUAAGACCUGCGACAGCCUGGCGCGCGACAAUGCCCUGCAGCAAUGCCGCGUUCCACAGCGCACUCCAUUGCUGCAGCUGCUUGGCUGGGCAUUGCACCAUGGCGUGCUUUCGGCUGACGAAGUCGCACAUUCAGCACGGGUGAAGCAGGGGGCGGGCCUCUCUGACUCCGGAUUCAUACGACAUUGGCUGCAGUUGUAAGACUGCAAAAGCCACCUGAUGAAGGUAAGUAACAUAUUGUGUGUUUCUUUGAAAAGUCUCCCUGUUCUGGCGCUCCACCGGCAACAGUGACCGCGGUCAAAGUUAGUCCCCGAUCCGGGCGGUUACUGGGCCGGACUCCAUCACACCGCCCAAUCGCCCAUGUGCCCAGUCGCCUGAUCGCCGACACCGUCGCAGCCACCGCUCCUGCGCCCCCGCCCCCGCCCCGGCGCCCACCGGACACCACGUCCCGCCGUUGCUGCCCCUGGCUCCGCCUGCCGACGCCCGCCGCCCGUUCACUGCGGCAGGGUCCCCCAUUCACUGUCAUACCCCGCGCCGCUUCUUGGCCGCCGGCAUCUUGGCCAUGGUCUCGGCGGUGCCCUUCCUGUUGUUUUUGCCCUUGAUGGCACCCGAGAUCUUGGCCUUGGUCUCGGCGGAGUGCUCGAGGCCCUUGCUGUUGGUCUUGCCCUUCACGGCCGUGAUUUAAGGACGUCCGUUGUAUUCUUACCUGGACGCCGAGCCCACCCCUCAAGCAGACAGGCUCCCGCAAGCCAGCCCAAACCUGCCCCGGCGCGCUGGGGUCGCGAUAAGCACACCCGAAGCGUGCUGGAUUGGGGCGGGGUCGCGGGAGGCCCUGGGGGGCAGAGCUGCAUGUAAUAAGGUGGGGCAGGGUGGGGCGGGGAGUUCACCUUCCCCAGCAAGACAUAUGAGCACGUCAAUAAUGAGAUCCUUAGACGCAGCCCAGCUGCCCAGCAGCCCAGGGGCUUGGAUGUGUCAGCAGAGCGUGGUCAGCCGGGUAGGUAGCGUAGGGUAGCGCUGCCGUGCCGUGCUGCUUGUGCCGUACAAUGGGAAUGUUUGUGUCACCUGCCUCGUGAUGGAACAUGGCAAGGGGCAGGAAAGCGUAGUCCCGAUGUGUGUGGCUCCCACCCGUGCCCACAUAAAUGCGUAGCAAGAAGGGACAAGGCAUUGGUGCGUCGUUCGCGCGCUGUUACUGUACCGACGGUAGCUGGCAGGUUGUGUCGAUGUUUUGCUGACGCGCAUUCCUCACGCUCCGGGCGCCCGGCCAAGGCGAUAGCACCACACACUCAAUGCGACGCCACACCGCGCGGAUAGCAUAGCCGAUGCGCACCUGCAGGCAGUCGACCGGCGUCCACGGAUGAGCUGUGUAGACGAGCACUAGCGUAAUGCAACGGCGUGCAGCAAAACAAUGGCCGGGCGACAGUGUGACAAGCAGGGGCAAGAACAAGGCGAAGCAAAGCAGAAGAGGGGCCCGAAUGUGUACGACAAUUGUGGUUUGUGUCACCUGCCUGUCACACUGUCGCCCGGCCCGCCCAGCCACAGUUUGCUGCAUUCUGUUUGCAUUUACACUGCACUUAUUCGGUGCACAUUCAUGGAUGCUGGUCGCCGGCUUGCAGGUCCUAAGCUUCACAAGUGUGGCGUUGCGGUGUGAUUGUGUGUGUGAUUGUGUGUGUGUGUGUGUGUGGUGCCAGGGGUGUGUGGUCGCCAUGGCCGGGCGCCCGGAGCAUGAGGAUUGUGCGUCAGCAAACUACUGCUGACAGCUGGCCUUGACAUCACAAAUUGAAUGUGGGGAUCUGGGAAUACGCUGCACACUAAUACGGGACGCCAACCUGCCCCUUACCCUGUCCCAUCGCACCUGACAGGCAAGACCAGAUUUCGGUACGCGCAUUGGGCCGUCCAUUGGGCCUCGUCGGCUGUCCUUGCACACGCCUGCCCUGCCUCCCCCAGCCGCAGUCGGCCCGUCACCACAGAAGCACAACCGUACCGUCAACAUAACUGUGCAGUACGGCGCGCACUCGACCGUCAGAUGCACUCAAUCACAUCGUUAGGCCGCAAGACUGCACUCCGUCCACGAUGUGCCAAGUCGCCAACGCCGCAACCAUCCCUGCUCACAACAUCACUGCGAGCGUGCAAUCCUACACGUUAGAAGCAUUACCCGGGAACCAGGAGUGCGGGGGAUCCCUCCUGCGUGGGACUACUGGCGCAGCAUCGGCACCGACCUCGGGACACAGACGAACUUCCAAACUCAGUGCCCAAAUACCUGGAGUGCCCAGUGCUGCAGUGGGGUAUGUCAUUCUUGUAAAAAUCAAGUCAUGCAGUCACCGCCGGAUCCCGAGGUCCACCCUCAAUGUUCUCUCCCUCUACACACACACACACAGACACAGACACAGACACAGACACAGACACAGACACACAUACACACACACACACACACACCGCGGCCGUAAUUCUGCAUCGCAUACACUGUCCUACGCGUAAUGUUUUCCUUGUGCUCUUUAACACACACCCACACACCCACACACACCCACACACACGCACACACACACACACACACACACACGCACACACACACACACACACGCACGCACACACACCCACACACAUACACCCACACCAGCGGGACCAGAUGUUUUCCUUGUGCUCUUUAACACACCAGCGUGAUCAGAUGGUUCGCGCCUGACAGACGCCAACGCGUGUUUACCUCUUUUGCGCACACGCCCCCACCCCCGUGCCAGCUGGCGGCGAUGACCGCCCCCUGGCCCAAACCGCGGCGGACCUCCCUGCCCCUGCCCCUGCCCCUGCCCCUGCGCCCCCACCCCCGCCCCGCCAUUUCUUCAGCCACCGCAGCCCCACUGCAGCCCAACCACUGCCCCGCCACCCCGUCCCUUCGCCGCCCCGUCCCUUCGCCGCCCCCUCCCUUCCCACUCCCCAGCCCCCGCCUACUUGGCCGCCGCCUGCUCCGCCCCGCCGGCAGUGGAGCGCGGCGUGCCCGCCACCGACGCCUGCCGCGACGACGCGCCCGCCUCGUCGUCCGCCUCCGGCACCGCCUCAAAGUGGCCGCGGCUGGGGCCGCCCGCCAGCUGCGCGGCGCGCUGCCCCGUGGGCGACUGCGGCAUGCUGCCCACCUCGUUUAGCCCCACGUCCUCUGAGGUUAGCGAGGCGCAGCCAAAGGACUUGUAGCUGAACAUCCGGCUGCGUGAGUCCAUGAAUCGCAGCCGCCCCGGCGCCUCGAAGAGAGCGUUGGAGGCGGCGGAGGAGCCGGCGUCGCCGGCGGCGCCUGCGGCGGUGGGCGAGCCGGGCGCGCCGGCGCCGGCGCCGGGUGCUGCGCGCGCCGGUGCGCUGCUGCUGACGAGCGCGUAGUGCACCGUGGCGUUCUGCGAGGGGGGGCGUGUGGGGGAAUGGGGCGUGGGGAUGGGGCGUGGCGUGUGGAGCGUGGCGUCUGGCGUGGCAGGCAGGUGGGGUGGGGCGUGUAGUAGCAGCAGCAUUGUGGAGGUCGAGGUGCAGCUACAGGCGAGCCAGCCCCUACACCCCCAGCCACCCAGCACCCAGUACCUUAGCUGCAGCCCCUGAGCCCCGCAGCCCCCAGCCCAGCCCCCGACCCCUCAGAGGCAACUCCAGCCGACUCUAGCAAGCCGAGGCUUUGCCGCAAAUCUGGCAACUCCUUCUUGCAGUGGUACAGCUUUGAUAGCUGGUGGAUCGCCCCCCCCAAAGCCCCAUCCCAAGCCCCCAUCCCAAGCCACACACAAAAGACCCGGGGGCGGCGGCGCUCACCGGCGGCCCCGUAAAUAUGCCGGCUUUGCCGCAGAUGUUGUCCAUGGUCAGAGUCACCUCCCCUGGCACACUGCGGGGAUGAGGCCGGGCGGUGUGGGGGCAGGGACGUGGUCACGGAGGUAGGGAUGGCCGCGGAACUACCACGAGACAUGACUCGCCAGACGAUAACGGUGUGGAAGCGCAAAGGUGAAGAAAGAAAAACUCGAACGUGCGUCCUAUACCGCGCCCAAAGUUCCACCGCGCCCGCCCGCGCGCGGGCCCGGCCCGGCAGCCCCCCCCCGCGUGUGUUCCCGUUACGCGCCCGCUCUGUCGCGGCUCCGCACUCACCCCAGCACCAGGCGCCCCGACGCCGCCUCCUUGGUGAGGGUCAUGUCGUGGCUGCAGGUCAGGUAAGCCGCCUCGCCGUAGCCGCUCACGGCGGAACCCUGUGCGGUGUGUGUGCGUGCGUGUGUGUGUGUGUGUGUGUGUGUGUGUGUGUGUGUGUGUGUGUGUGUGUGUGUGUGUGUGUGUGUGUGUGUGUGAAAGAGCACAAGGAAAACAUAGCGCAAAGACAGUGUGUGUGUGCGGUGUGUGUGUGUGUGUGUUAAAAAACGAAACGAAAGCCCGCCCAAUGACGCGACGGAGUUACUUGUGUGUGUGUGUGUGUGUGUGUGUGUGUGUGCGGGGUGAGGUGGGUGCGGCAGAUGUGGGGUGUUGGCGCAUACCGUCCCGCGUGCGUCGUACCACUGCGCCGUCACAAAACACAAGCACACAGAAACACGUGCCAUGCAGUACAGCCGCACGGCUGUGUCGUACGGUUGUGUCGUACGGCCGCCGCACCUGUAUGUGGUCGGGCAUGCGUGCGGUGGCGGCGGCUGCCUCCUGGUUGUCCUGGGGCCGGAAGGACACGGUCACGUUCAGCGGCGGCCCCGUGCUCACGAACGCCCACGCCACCUCCGCCUGCGCGCCCGCCAGGUCGCCCGUGACGUGGCCCUCGCCCGGCUGCAGCGUCAGCUGCGAGCAGGAAGAAUAUGUUGGUGUGAGUUGGGGGGUUAGAGGGAUUGAUUGGCGGCAUGUACGAAAUUCGAGGUUGGGAGCGUGCGAGGAGACGAGGACUGGCCAGGGCAGUGAAAACAAUGGAAUGCAUGGGUGCGACAGAACUGGCACAGCAGAUGGGUCAUCGCGUUUGAGCCCGCGCAGCCGUGCAGCCAAAGCCAUGGGGGCCGAGGGCCUGCCACUCACGCAUUUGCUGCGGGCGGCGCUGAAAGGCGGUGCGUGCUUGUUCUUGGGCGGGAUCACAAACGUCUCCAUGAAGCCACCAAACCUGGCGCAUGUGCGUGUGCGCGGCGGUGUGCAGGCAUAAACACGGUACUCAGAUGAGGGCGAGGGGACGCGGCGGCGCCAUGGCCUGCGAUGCCGAUGGGGCCUGUUUCCACGCACCCGCACUCACACCCCACCGGGCACCCCCCCCGUCAUCCGCCCCCCCCCCUGGCACCCGCCACCAGUCCCAGCCCCCAAAUGUCCCCCAGAUUGCCCCGCCUCCGCCCACACACGCCGCCGCCCACCCACCCACCCACCCACCCAUCCACCCAUCCACCCACCCACCCACCUGGCGGGCACGUGCACGGGGUCCACGUACGUGAACAGCACGGCGGCGGCGCGGGCGGGCGAGGCCAUGGUGAACUUGGCGCGGGUGGCGGCGUCCGCCAGGCCGCUGAACACGCCGAACAGGAACUCCAUGACCCGCGGCACGUUGAGGAACAGCUUGGCGGACAGCAGUUCGGGAUAGUUGUCCUGCAGGGGGGGUGGUGAGGUGGUGGUGGUGGUGGUGAGGUGGUGGUGAGGUGGUGGUGAGGUGGGGGUGAGGUGGGGGUGGUGAGGUGGGGGUGGUGAGGCGGGGCAGGGGUUACAAUCAUGAUUAGGAGGGGCCGGCAUAGCUAGGUGGUCAAUGGAGGGGAUGAGCCGGGUCAGCAUUGCAUGCAGGUGGGGCCGGCCGGGCGCGUGUCAGGCACGAAGGAAGGGGGGCAACACCGUCGUGUUUGUUUCUGUGUGCGCGCUUUGGAUGGUGGUGGAUGGUGGGAUGGAGUUCGGCAGGCUGGGGGCAGGCAUUUGGAGGAUGGUAGGCGUGGCUGUCUUGGAGGAGGCGCGGCCACAGCCCACUGCUUGAAGCACUGCCGUCCACCACCGUGGGAGCCUCCGCAUCACGAGCUCCGUCGCCUCGUCCUCGCCAUCAUGAUGUCUCCCGCAUCAUGAUCACGCACCUGGAACAGUCGUAUGAUCUCGCGGCUGGCGGACUUGAUGCCCGCGUCCAUGCGGAACAUGGAGGCGCCGGCGUAGUCGUGGAUCUAGCGGGGGGAUGCAGGAGGGAGAGGGGGGCGGCGAUCACGCAUAGGAGGCGUGACGUGUGGAUGUGGGCCGUACGGGCCGUACGGCACCACACCAGCCACAAAAACACGCCACGCCAGCGCCAGUCUCCCGCGCCCGCGUCCGCCCCCGCCUCCAUCCCAACACCCGCCCCCGCCUCCACUGCACCGCGCCCCGCCCCCAGCCUCACACCGCCCCGGCCCCCGCCUGUUGUCGCCGCCCGCCUCCCCCCCCACCCCCUACCUGCGUGACGUGCUCCACGCCGCGCUCGAAGUCCAGCUGCGCAAUCGCCUGCUCCAUCAGCCGCACCCGCCACCGCACGAAGGUGGCCACACCGCCCGGGCUGCCCAUCACCGCGUUCAAGUCCACACCCGUGCCGUCUGAGGGGGGCGGCGAGGAGGAUGGGCAGCGGGCGGCAGGCCAAAAGGGAGGCGGCGGCAUUACUGGGUAUACUGGCAGCGUGACCGGACGUCAGGGCACCUGGAUGUAAGCGGACAGGAGGCGUUUUGCAUCAGAGCCUGCCCAAGCAACUUAGCCUACACACCGUGCCCUGUACACUUUGCCCUCCGCACAGUCCUCCUCACAGCCCUCCUCACAGCCAACCUCACAACCCCCCUCACAGCCCCCCUCACAGCCACACAGCCCGCUGUCGCGUGCCCUCACAGUAGUUGUAGGUGACUGGGUUGCCGGCCCGGUCGUGUCCGGUGAGCUGCCCCGCCGCCGCCAGCUGCGGCGGGAAGGUCUCCAGGCCGAGGCCGGCCACGUCGAAGUCGCGCCGCCACUGCACGACACACACACACACACACACACACAUACACACACACACACACACACACACACACACACACACACACACACACACACACACACACGGGUGCCACAUGGGUGCCGCGUGGGUGCCACAUGGGGAAUGGUGAGGCGGGUGGUGAGGCGGGUGGCGAGGUGGGUGGUGAGGUGUGUGGCGGUACGGCCAGGCCUCAGGCAGGCCGACCUGUGUGCCGCCCCCUUGUGUGCUGUGGCGUCGCCAAGCAGCAGCGUCAUGGCUACAUGGCAUUACUGGGCCGGACUCCAUCACACCGCCCAUUUGCCCAGUCGCCUGAUCGCUGACACCGUCGCAGCCACCGCUCCUGCGCCCCCGCCCCAGCGCCCACCCGACACCCCGCCCCGCUUCCCUGGGAGCCUCCUGCAGGCCCGCAACCUGACUGGCUGACCCAUGGGACCGCACCCCAGGGCUAAGGCAUAGUCCGUAACCCCAUCCCAGGUGGGGCUUGGUCGGACUGUCCCUUCUUGAAAUGUCGCUUACAUCCCAGAUACACUUGCAACGCCCUACCCGCAGACAGUUGACAAGCAUGUUAACUGCGGCCGCCACGUUCCACUGCCGUGCGCGCAAGAACUUGAGUAGCACGACCUUCUGCGCCUUGCUGGGCGUACGCGGGCUGGCGCCGCCGCCGUUGCUGCCCCUGGUUCCGCCCGCCGGCGCCCGCCGCCCGUUCACUGCUUCGGCACCGUUCCCGGCGCCGCCAUUGCUGUCUGUGGCGGUGGGCGCGGAGGUGGAUUCGUGUUGUUGCUGCUCCGACUCCUCAGCUGUGUCCCAGCGGUGUGAGACGGCAAGGUCGGCUAGCUGCACGCCCCACAGCGUCAUCUGCAAGCGAGGAUAAGGAAAGUAGGCAGUGAGAUGGGCUCCCGUGCAGUACAGGCGAGCGCCGAGGUGCCAUGACAACUUCCUCCAACACCAAUCUCCGCCUUCGCCGUCACACCCCGGACGUAACGUCGCCGCACCAAGUAGAUGCACUGAGUGGCGCACCUGGUCAGGGCCGUUAAGGUCUGAGGCAUGAACCUGCACAGUGGGAAGGCGAGCCCAGGGUGGCCAGGUCAGAGUCGCCACACUCCUCGGGGGUGGGCAGGGGAGUGGGAGGGCGUCUCAGCUCACCGCAUCGAUGAACUUCUCCACCAUGUCCGCCAGGGCCGCCUCCUGCGUCGCCGUCAAGCAGCCCACAUAUCCGUCCUUCCGUGCAGGAUAUGGCGACUCCAGUACCGUGCUGGGGUUGGCUUGCGUUGCCAUGUUACUGUGAGCCCCUUGAUGAUGUGUCGCUAACCGCUUCACAGAGUCAAUACUACAGCUCUUUAUCUAUCUAAUUUGAUGAUGUGGAGCAUAAUUCAGCCGUGGAGCGCAGCAGCUAUUUGGGAUCGCGGCUUUCGCGUGCGAGUCGGCAAGCCGGACUGUAAACAAGCUUCGCUGCAGCAUUAAAGUCAAACGCUUAGUAAGACGGAUGCCAUAUAAACUUAUUCUAAAACUAGAAUCCCAUUUGGUAUCCAGCGCAAUUGAAACUUGAAUUGCCCUGCGAUCACCACCCGCUCGCGUCGGUUGCCAAAAUGCGCAUGCAUCAUACUACUUUUGGUAAAUAACAAACUCAGCAACCAACGUUGGCAAGCUGUGAUCGCUGCGGCACAAACCGAACUGACUCGGCUUGCCACCUCCAAGGCACCGUCUUAACUUUGAAGGUCUAGCCUGACCUCAUUGAAGGAUGCCUCCACGAAGGCCCAACAAGUCUCGCCACGCGGCCACAAUUUCUUACAACUUGUCCAAUGCAAACGCGAGAGACGCUUUCGAGGAGGAGCUCGACUUAGAGGUGCGUUUAGGCCCAAUCACAAUCAUUUCCGCUGACAGGGGUCUCGUCUAGGGUGCUGCUCGCAACUAGGGUUGGCCUGGGUGGAGGGGCAGUAGCUGGAAGGCCGCGGUGCGCACCUGCUCAGGGCCCGCCGUUGCUCGCCCGCUGGCCCCUAGCUCUGGGGCCCGCGUGGCCAACCAUUCACUCGGACUAGUGCCUUUCUCGUAUACACGGUGCCUGUGGGGAAUGACGCCGCAUCCUUCGAGUCGACACGAAGGGCCGCGUUAUGUGGGUGACCUACGAACUACUGCUUCAGCCCCCGGCCCACACACGUACAUGCAUACGGUGCAUGCAGGCUGCACAUCGCAUCGUCGUGGCGUCCUGAUCUUGCAUCCUCCCGCGCUUGGUCUCGCCCGCAUUCGUUUGACCCCUGGAAACUGCACACUCGCAUCUCACCUGCCCCCUAGCUUGGUUUGGUUCAGUUUGGGCUGGUAUUUACAAACCCCCACCACCACAACCGCCAAAACCGCCACACCCCUAGGAUGAACGCACGCAGCAGCGCCACCUGUCGGGCGGCCGGCACGGCAAGCGCGGCGGCGGCGCGGGCGGCGGCGGCGACGCCGCCGCCGGCUACCGGCCCAGCCCCUCCGUCUUCUCACUCGCCGCCGACCUGCCGGCCGCCGCCCGCCGCCACGGCGGUGCGUACGACGAGUACGACGGCAUGGGCGAGUACGACACGCCACAGGCCACCACUGACAUCAUCAACCUCAUGGAGCUGUUCGGUGAGCUGUCAUGUUGCCUGUUGGGGCCACGGGGGGGCGGCGGGAUGGGAGUGUGAUGGGGUGGAUAUUGGGGUGAGGUGCAGGAUGAGAUGUGUGUGUUGGGGUUACCGCCGAAUAGGCCGCACAGGCGGCGGGCCCGGGGCAUGAAGCGCACCAGUGUACGUCUGGCAGCUCUCCCUCGCGCCUCAACGCCCAGCCGGUGUAGGCGGUGCUCGCACACACUCGUUUUCUCCUUUCGGUGCCUCGCCCCUCCCACUCUUCCUUACAGGCUCGGCUCUGGAUCGCGAGGUCCUGGAGGGCGUGUAUGAGGGCAGCGGCCGCAGCUUCGAGCGCGCCAUGGAGCGGUGCAUGGAGAUGGCGGCGGCCGCAGCCGAACAGCAGCAGCAGGCGCCGGCGCCUGGCAGCAUCGCCGCCGCGGCCGGCCCCGCGCCAGCGGCGUCAAGCAUUGCGGCGGCGGCCGCCGCCGCCACCGGCUCGGUAGCUGCCGUGCCGGACGCUGGGGCGACGCCGGACGCAGCGACUGCGCCGGGGGCUGACGCCGCCGGGGGCUGUCAGGUUGAGAGAGCGUGUAACUGGGACGUGCUGCCAGACGACCUGAAGCGCCACGUGUUCACUUUCCUGGGUUCACGUGACCUGGCCCGGGUGGCGCGCACCUGCCACGACUUCGCGGGGCCGGCGCGGCAGGUGCGCACCAACGCGCGCUCGCUGCAGAUCCCCACAGGUGAGUGCUGGGGGGGGGGGCGGGAGGGGCGCAGGCGCGCGGGAGGGGGCAGCUGGGGGGAUCUGGGUUGGGAGACGAGGUGUGUGCGGGAGCGAGGGGUGCAUGGUGCUGGGGCACGGUGCUGGGUGCAAGCACACAUACACGCACACACGCGUUUCCGACCGCCUUGCCCAGAAAGCCCCUCACAUAAAGCACCAUCACAAACCCCUCACAACACAAAACACCAUCACAAACCCAUACAACACAAAACCUUCCAUCAACACACAGGCCUGGGCAUGCACGGCAUCAUGUCCAUGGUGGCGGGCCACCCCAACGCCCGCUCCGUAAGCCUGCGGCAGUGGUGCGCCGUGCCGCUGAGCGACGCAGACUUCACCGCGCUGGCGGUGGCGCUCAGCGCCGGCAGCCGCAGCGAGCGGCGGGCGGUGCCGGUGGAGGCGGUGUCGUUCAAGGGCUGCCGCUGGCUGGGCGACGGGCAUGUCAUGUGUCUGGCGGCCACGCUGCAGCACCUCAAGUGAGGGGGAGGAGGGAGGAGGGAGGAGGGAGGGGGGAGGAGGGAGGAGGGAGGAGGGAGGGGGAGGAGGGAGGAGGGAGGAGGGAGGAGGGAGGAGGGAGGAGGGAGGAGGGAGGGCCGGCCGGAAGACCUGUUUGAGUGGGACCUUUCAGGUUCAGAGGGGGGAUGCGCCGGGAUACUGGUCGAGCAGCCAGCGGGCACACACAUACGUGGGCCUGCCUUUGCGACUUGCUUUCCUUGUGCUCUUUCCUUGUGCUAACACACACACACGCACGUGCAGGGAGGUGGACCUGACGGACUGUGUGGGCAUUACGGACGCGGCGCUGACGGCCCUGGCCAAGUACCAGCGACUGGCGCCCGAGGUGGGGGGCGUGGCGGUGUGGAUGGCAAUGUGGGGGAAUGACAUGAGUGUGGAUUGGGUUUGGACUGAUGGUGGCAGGGCUGGCAACUCACCGGGGCAACCCCAGGAGCAGCGGCAGCACCCGGGCACCUGCGGCCUGCAGCUCCUUCGCUGCUUCCAUGUACCCCGUUCCAUGGCAAGGCCUUCCUGCCCCACCCUGCCCUCCGAACCUCUCACAGGACGGCGACACUUCGUCCGACGAGGAGGCGUCCACUGCCGAACACCCCAACCUCCUCCCCGCCGGCGCCGCCGCCGCCACCUCCCUCGGCAUCCCCGGCCUGCCGCCGCGCCCGCGCGGCGGCAGCCACCCGAACCACAGCGCCGGCGGCGCCGCGCCCUCGCCGGCGCCCGCCGCCACGCCCUCCUCCGCCGCCGGCGCCGGCGCCGCCGCAGGCGACGACGACGAGUUGCAGUUUGAGUUUGAGGCGACGCCGGCGCCGGCGGCCAGGUCGCGGUCGCGGUCGCGCCAUGCGUCGGCGUCGGCCGUCGGCGGCGGUGUGGACGGGGAUGUGGAUGUGAAUGUGGAUGCCCUGGAUGUGGCUGGCGGCAGCGACGGCGACAAUGACGCCGCCAGCGGCGUUGUCGGCGGCAGCAGUGAGGACGAGGAUGACGAUGUGCUGUCUGCAAUGUCGCCGUCGCCCUCGCCCUCGCCUGCCGCCAGCGCUGGCGGCUUGGCGCGCGCCUUCGCGCGCGGCGUGCGCUUGUCGCCGGGCGCCGCCGGCAGCCUGGGCGGCGGCAGCGGCGGCGGCUCCCUGCCCAAGCGCGGCGGCGGCGGCGCCGCCAUGAUCGCGCCGCCGCCGCUGGAGCACGCCGGCGACGGCGGCAACCGCCGCGAGAGCCGCGCCAGCGGUGCCUCCACUCCCGCGUACGGCACCUCGCCCGCCGGCGGCGGCGGAAGCGGGCUGUACGGCACGUCGGCGACACGCGCCGCCGGGCUGUACGGCACCAGCCCCGGCGGUGGCGGCGCCGCCGCCGUCGGCUCCCUGACCGCCGCCGCCAGUGCCGGCGGCGGCGGCAAGAGCUGGCUGUACGGCAGUAGCCCGGUGAUGGCCGCGUCGCCGUUUUUCCGUACCGGCACCUCCAGCAGUAUUACUCAUACCGCCUGGCUGGCGCGCGCCGCCAGCGCCGCCACCAGCCGCCAGUCGGGCCGCGGCCUCAUGAGCAUCAACAUCAGUGGUGCGUGCGCCUCUGUGCUCCAUGCGUGAGCGUGAGCGUGUGUGUAUGUGUGUGUGUGUGUGUGUGUGUGUGUGUGUGUGUGUGUGUGUGUGUGUGUGUGUGUGUGUGUGUGUGUGUGUGUGUGUGUGUGUGUGGCAGUCGCUGCGGGGCUUGCCCCGCCUGCCGGGCAUUCGUGCCGGUGCGCGUGCGCAUGUGCUCAGGCGCCCCCAUCCACACAUCUCUUACCGUGCUAACGCGACCCACAAUCACACUGAUCACAAGUCAUAACGCAUAUGCCCCACCCCUUCUCCCUUCGCCCCUUCCGCCUCCAUCCUGCCGCGGCCCGCAGGCUGCUCCCAGGUGUCUGCGGACGGCGUGCGCGCGCUGCUGGCGGCGCCGCUGCCCAAGUCCUGCCUGUUGCAGCUGGACAUGUCCCGCUGCCCGCGCAUCACCCGCGCCGCACUGGUGCUGCCAGCCGCGGUGAGAGUGACGCCGCCCGGCAUCGCACUUGACGGCUUCCAUUUGCCACUUUGCAGCGCCAUGCUUUCCAUGCAUGGCAGUAUAGCACUGGUAUGGUCUGAACCGGUACUCUCUGCCCACCUCGCCACCUCCCCAGCUGCCACCUCCCCCUGCCUGCACCCUCCCUCAACGCCCCUGGCCCCCUUACGCCGCCACUUCAUCUAAAUACUUAUGAUUGUAACCCCCGUCCUCCAGAGCAACCUGUGUGUGCUUCGCGCCAGCGGCUGCCACAACCUGCAUGAGGUGAUUAUGCAGCUGCCGCUCACCUCGCCGCUCACCGAACUGCACCUGGCGGACUGCAAGGCGCUCACAAAGCUGCACAGUGAGUGGCGGCAGCGGGCGGGCGGCCGCCGGGAGAGGGCUGGUCCCUGCUGAGAGGUGCUUUCAAUUGCCACGUGUGUGUGUGUGUAUGUAUGUGUGUAUAUGUGUCCAUGGGACAUGGAGAGGGAGGAUGCUUGCCAGCCGGCGUGCCUGCCUGCCAGCGCGCCGGCGCACGUGCACUGCGCGAUGUCGACCCCCCACGCUGUGCCUCCUCAACACGCCAACGUGUGCGUGCCGGCCCCCCGCCCCCUGCAGUCGUGGCGCCGGCGCUUCAGCAGCUGCACGUGGGCGGAUGCCGCCACCUCACUCGCCUGCACCUGCGCUGCCCGCGGCUGCGCAGCCUCACAGCUAGCCUUUGCUUCAGGUGGGGCGGCGGAGACGGCUGGCUGAUUGAUCUCAUGUGCUUGGCUUUCGCCUUCGUUACCUCCUGCCCUGCCUCCCAUCCCUCUCCUCACGCCCUCUCGCUGCCUCCGGCCUGUCCUCCCGUCCUCUCCUCCCAACAUCCGACCACCACCUCCAACUCCACCCCCUCUACCGCCCCUUCCACCCCCGCCCACUCCCAUUAUCGCUUGCAACUGUCGCAUAACUCCCCACCCCACGCCCCCACCCCACCCCACUCGAAAGGCUGUCCGAGCUGGACGCCGAGGCCCUUGAGCUACCCCGCCUGGAGCGGCUGAACCUCUUCGGCUGCCGGCACCUGGAGGGCGGCGCGGUGGCGGCGCUGCUGUCCAAGGCGGGCGGCAGCCUAAGGCACCUGGACGUGAACGGCUGCAACGCACUGGUGGUGCUGGACAUCCCCGACGGUGAGCCAGGCGGCGGCGGCGCCCUGUCUCUGUCCCUGUCCCCGCACCGUGUCGUCUUUCCAGCCCGCGCACUUCCAGCCCGCGCACACAGCCUGCAAAACCCCUAUUGCAUUGGGUUCGGUUUAGUUUCGGCUGGUAUCUACAACGCCCCCCCUUCUUAAUUAAUUAUGAAUGUAACCCCCCCCCCUCCACACCCUUCUGCACGCUCAGCCAACUCGGCGCUGCAGCAGCUGGACGCCAGCGGCUGCAAGUCGCUCACGGCGCUGCGCUGCGCCAGCCCCGCACUGGCCGCAGCCACACUGCGCUCGUGCCCGCGCGUGCAGGUGGGCGCGCGCGCGGGGUGCUGCUGAAGCAGAGCUAUCAGGGGUGGCAGCGGCGGUGGUGGUGGUUUAAGAGCGCAAGGGGUGAAAACACGCAGGACUGUCUAUGCGACCUGAUGCGACGCUCGCGGUUUUACCUGAACUGGUUGUGGUCGUGGGCGAGCAAUGCAUGAGACAUGCGGGCAGAGAGCAUGGGAUAUGGACUCGCUGUCGUCUCCUCGUCCUUCUGCGCCCUUAUCGGCCCACAUGUACACACACACGCUUACGCAAACACACACAUGCGCACGCACACACAGGAGCUGUCUCUGGAGUCGGGGGCUCUGGCCCGGCUGGACAUUUCCAACUGCCCGCACCUGCAGCGCCUGCACAUGCCCGCGCUGACGGCGCAGCGGCAGCAGAUGCAGCUGGAGGCGGUGGCGGCGCCGGACCAGCCGCAACACCAGCAGCCCUACCCCCAGAACCCUCAGCAGCAGCUGAACCUGCUGCCGCCGGGCGUGACCACGGCGGCGGCGGCGCUGCAGCCGCAGGUGCACUUUGGGGCCCUGGCGGCGGCCGUGGGCCGCAGCGGCGCGGCAGCGGGAACAGGAACGGGUGGCGGCGGUGGCCGGGCCGGCGGCGCGGGUGCGCCGGUGGUUGGGGCGCUGGUGGCGGCGGCGGCGGGCAGUGGCGUGCUGGUGCGGAUGGCGGGCUGCGACCGGUUGCCGGCGGAGACCGCGGUGCUGCUGCGGCGGCUGAGGGAGCGGGCCAAGCAGAGCGCGGCGGCGGCCGCGGCGGCCGCGGCAGCGGUGAACCCGGCGGCAGCGGGUUGAGGCGCGGGAUUGGGGGGCUAGGGGGCGAGAACGAGACAAUUUGCCAUUUGGUUUUUGUGAGUACAUUGCAGGGUCGCGACUGCAAAGCGGGAGGAGGGGCGGGGAACGAAGUGAUCGGGGUGAGGGUAGGGCGACCGCCGCAUGGAUACCAGUCUUCCCCCUGUUAUUUUGGGGCAUGUGUGCAUGACGAGGAUGACGGCAGCGGCUGCGGGGCCUUCGGAGUGAUGCGCAUGUCAUUUUGGCGGGAAGUCUAGUCUACAUCCAGGUCUACAUCAGGAACAUUAGCCUCAAGUCGGGGCUGGUAGUAUUUUAUGUAAACAAAAUGAGCGAAUACGGUAUAACACUCCCGCAUGUUGCCGUCUCGACAGAGUUUAUUACGCGUGACUAUGAGGACAUCGUUUUUGGCGCGAUCGUUGGGGAGACGCCCACAGAUGAUAUCCUGCUCUGUGCGGGCAGAGCAUUUCGCCUGCUUAGCAGCAAACUAGGCGUUUCCCUGAAAGAGGAAGAGGACGAAGAGGAGGAGAUAACUUUCACCAACUUCACCUUAGCCGAUGAGCCUGCGGAGCGCGAUGUAUAUGCUACGGAUGAAGAUUUUACCAUCACUGCGGGCUGCUACGACGCAUUCAGGUGAGACGCAGACCCGCAGUUACCAGUGGCAUUUGGGCUCACCCUGCCCCCUCACAAACCCCCCGCCCCCCUCCGUGGCAGCGGCGACAUCUUCAUCCGGGAGGGCUAUUCGCUGUUGCGGCUACGCAGUGACGGCUCAGUGGUGAGUGGCUAUGUCUUUUGUUUGCUGUGCUGGGUGCCAGGCGUCGUCAGUGUUGACAUUCAGCCAUACGGGCAUCCUUAGCGGUAACGAGGCCCGUGUGGCUGAAUGUCAACAGUCAGCCACAUGCCUUCCAUUGUAACAUCUAUUCUCCUAGCGCAGGAACCGCUGGCGGGCCUCAGGGCGAACCCCGGCCGGGCCGAAGGGAAAGGCCUCAGCGCGCGGUUCGAGACUUUGGGUGGCGUUGCAUCCGAUGGCGUCGGGUCCCUGUACGUUGAGGUGAGCAGGACCGGUCAAGAAAGCAACUUCACAUUGCUUGCAGCGCCAUGCCGUACAGAACGUAGAUGGCCUCCUAUGACGCCACGCGCCUGUCACCCACCGUCCGCACCACCAACAGGAUGACAAGCGCAUCCGCAGGGUGCAGCUGCCGGCGGAGUGGCGGCGCGGCGCGCCGCAGAACCAUGGCAGUGGAAGCGCCACUCCCGCAGUCACGGUGUCCACCCUCCAUACAUCAGCCGACCGCGUGGACGCCCUCGCCUACGACGGCACCACCGACUCGCUCGUGUUCGCCUCGGAUGCCAAGCUGUUCAGGCUGCCUCUGCGCCGCGCCGCCGCCGCCGCGGCUAACGGUGCGGCCGGUGUCGGUGCGGGUGCCGGACCUGUCGCUAACGGCGCUGCGGGCGGCAGGGCGGGUGGCCGCAGCCGCAACAGUAGCGGGAGCGGAAGGGGUGGAGCCGCCGCCGCCGCGGCCCGGCUGGAGCCCCAGCUCAUUGCAGGGGGCGGCCACAGCAGCUCCGGCGCCGCUCCGAAGGACUUUGAGGACCCCUUGUCCAUCGCCGUGGAUGGAGACGGCAACAUCUUUGUCCUUGAUCGCGCCGCUGACGAUGAUGACGAUGAGAAUAUAGACUGCUGCAUCAAGGUAAUUCGCGGCGGCGGCGGCAUUGCCGCAGCAUCGGCGGCGUCCACGUCAGCGGGGGCAGGGCCGGGGGCAGCGGCACCCGCCGUGUGUGCGGAGGAGGAGGCAGGCGGCCUGUUUGACCAGCUAGACGAGGACGGCGUGCUUGUGAGCGGCAUCCCGGUGGACACUUACAUGUUUUCAGCAUGCAUGACUGUGCUGCGGAAUGGCAGCUUGGUGGUGGCGUGUCCCAAUGACCUCGUGGCUCUGUGGCUCGGGCUCAAGCCGACGCUUCUGAGGCCCCGCGUGUCUGCGCCGGCCGCGGCGCCGCCGCGCUCGUUGGCCUCUGACCUGGGCUCUCUGCUGGAGUCGCCGCCCGACGCCACCUCCGACCUCACCUUGCACGUCGGCGGCCGCAAGUUCGCGGUGCACCGAGCCAUCCUGGCCGCGCGCUGCGACUACUUCCGGCAGCGGCUGGCGGCGGACACGUUCGCGGACGGCGCCGCGGCGGAGCUGGAGCUGCCGGACGCGGACGCCGACGCCUUCGCGCUGCUGCUGCGCUGGCUGUACACGGGGGCCGUGGAGCUGCCGGCCGCCGCCGGCCAGCUCCAAUUCAUCGCCGAGCUGGCGGACCGGCUGCUGCUACCCGACCUCAGCGCGGCCGCAACACACAAGCUGCUGGCAGCAGUGACGCCGGCGACGGUGGUCGACGCGAUGCUGUGGGCGGAGCGGCAGGGCGAGGCGGGGGCGGCGCUGCUGGCGCAGCUCAAGGAAUGGUAUCUGGAGCACGAUGAGCAGGUGGUGGCGACGGCGCGCGACAGCCUGAAGCGCCUGGCGGUGGCCAGCCCCGACCUCAUGGUGGAGCUGCACGUGGCGAAAAAGAAGAGGCCGCGGGCGGCCUGAAGCGUGCGCAUGUGUUUGCGUGUUAGGAGAGGAAGGAAAAGGGUUGGCAAUGUAGCCUUGUGUGUGCGUGUGUGUGCGUGUGUGUGUGUGUGUGUGUUAAAAAACGAAACGAAAGCCCGCCCAACGACGCGACGGAGUUACUUACCGAUACCCACCAUUUUACCGAGCGUUGCGUGACUGUCGUGACCCAGGUAGUCAUACUUACCCGCGAUAAGCCUGGAACCCCACGGGCGACCAUUCGGCCUGACCCCGCGAUGCACCUGUAUGCGUCCAUGCUCCGCACCCUGGGCGCGCUAAACAACGUUUACCCAGCACGCCUAAUUCCCGGAUUCCCGCCCGCUGGUCGUAGUCGAGCUCACCUAUAGGCAAAGGUGGAAGCAUGAGCAUAGGGCGGCAGCGAGGAAGUGUCACGGGCAUGUGAAUGGCAACGGCGAUAAGAGAGGCGGCGUGCAGCAGACAAGCUAGGUAUCACGCGUCCCAAAUCCCGCCCACUAAGUACAAUAACACUAUUGGAAGAGGGCGAGUUAGCGGUGGCACUGCGACUAAACGGGGUCGAGGCUGCAUGGGGGACGUGGAUGGCGGGCGGCGGUUGCAGCGUUUCCGCGUGUCAAGCUGAUGUGUGUGCGUGUGACGUGUGUGCGCCGUGGGCUGGCGGGAGCUGGCCUCCCGCUCCCCACUCCACGGCGGCACCGAGGCUAGGCACGCUCGCGGCCGCAGUGGCCGCGUAGGCUGUGCGUGACGAGCCCCCCAUCCCCCACCCCCCAGAAUGUGUGUGUGUGUGUGUGUGUGUGUGUAAAUGUGUGUGUGUUAGCUUGCGGCGGUAGCAGCUGGUGAUGGUUGCAGGAUGGGUUGCAGUACCUUGGGCCGCAGCAAGCCGUUGCGGUGGUGCGCGGUGCCGGGGGUGCCGGCAGCGAUGAGCGCAGGGCGGCGAUACGGUUGCGAGGGGCUCCAAGUAUUGGCGUAGAGGAUCGGGUUGAUGGCCGGAAAGCAUUGACUAAUUGGGGCAUUCAUUGUUGUCUGAUCGUGCGUACCGUACAGCAGGAUGGCUCGCGUUGUGCACUGCACUGCAAGUGAGCAUGCAGGACAGGAUGGCUCGCGCUGUGCACUGUACUGCAAGUGAGCAGGCAGGUGUAGGUGGGCAGAUGUUGCGAGCAGCAAGGCCGGGCAGUCAGGCAAGUAUAUAUCGGAGGUCGGCAGGUAGGCAGGUGGGCACUGACACUGCAACUGACUGGGGCUUGGGACAACGUGAUGUGGCCUGUCCUGGAGUGUGUGAAUGUGUGUGUAUCUCAGGCAGGCGUUGGAAGUUUCCACUCUUGUGGUGGUGAUGUGCUGAAGUCAGGCGCUUGUGUGCGUAGCCUUGGGGACAGUUGAAGCUUAGAAGCAAGCUGAGGGCAGGGCAAUACCUCUUGGGCACCAGUUGGUGCCAUAGUGUGCUCCGUGCGGGCAAGAAGCGCUCAUGCCGAUGGCUGUUCGUCUUCUCCCCUCCUGACCCAAGCCAACCCUGCGGAAGGACAUUUCCUUUGGCAUGAGUGUGCGGUGGGACAGUGUGAAGGCAGGUUGGUGAAGUCCCGCAGGGUGCAGCUGAUUCCCAUACCCCAGCAGAUGGCAACAACUUGCAACGACAGGGCAGGAGUGCACGGCUGAUCGAAUGCCGUUAUGCCGGAGUUUCUGUACCGUACCGUCGCUGUUCCGUUGCUUGCUGACUGGAAGUUUGCUGAUGCGAAUCCCUCACGCUCCGGGCGCCCGGCCAGACGAUGGCACCACACAGACACACCGCAACGCCACUUGCAAUGGCCAAUGUGGUCCAACCUGGUGCCCAGCCAUGCGCCACCCCGUGUACUGCAUGACAUGUGCGGUUCUCUGUCACAUCAAGGCCGGCCGCCGUCGCCCAGCCCGGCAGCCCAGCCAUCCCAAUACAGCAGCCACCUUACGUCCGCUAGCCAUGGGCGCGACCGUCCACAGUGUUCACGGUCCGUUACGAGGGAACAUGCGGAUUCGCAACUUGCGCUACUGACUGCCUGCUCUCGUGCCGCCUGCAAGCCCACUCCGCCUUCCGCUCUGGUCUACGUACGCGUUAGUUCCGCAACACACGUCAAUCAAGGCUGUUAGAUGCUGUGCUGCUCAAGUUCAAGAAUCUGGGUGGGCUGCGUACCCAGUGCCUGGCCCAACGCUCUAGGUGCAGGGCCGGCUCCUGCCGUCGUCUAUAUUUGGCUGACGCUGCUCAGUGUUUUCCACCAACAACCCCCAAAGAACGAACCCGAGGCACGAGGCAUGAUCACUACGCCGGCGUUACAAACACACCGCGCAAGCCAGAGGCCCGCAGGAUCAGAAAGCAUUCUCGGUGCGGAGCUUGUCGUCAUGUAACCUUUCCAAACGCAGUGAAGCCUGCCGAACGAGCAUGAGUCACUCAUGUGAACUCCCAAUGGAAGCCGGCAAGCGCCGCCUCGCCAGCCACGAGGGCAGGCAGGCUAAAAGCGCCCCGGUCCUUGGUAAUGUUCGUGCGACGAGUUAUCCCUGACCAUGGUGGAGAGUUCCAGGAACUGAAGAACCAACUCGAGCCACGCGCCAACACCGCAGCCGGGCCGGGCGUGUGACCAGCACGCCCGGGGAACCCCGGCGCGGCCGCGCAGCCCCCAACGGGCCGCCGGCCCGCACCCACCAAUUGCUUAGUAGAUGCGGAUGGGCUUGCCCAUGGUGCUCUUGAUGUACAGGCAGCGCACGUUCUGCCAGUUCUUCUUGAGCAGCGACACCAGGAAGUUGAUGGCGUACAUGAUGUUGGUACGGAUCUCGCCCUCGGUCAUGCCCACGUUGGCCACGGCCACGCCCAUGCACAGCACCUUCUUCAGCUGGAACUUGAUGCUGCACUUGGUGUCCAGCACCUGUGCAGGGAAGAGCAAGGCAAGCGCGGCACGGCAGGGCGGGCAGGGCGGUCAGGGACCUGUGGUUGUGCUACAAUAUUUGGUGUUCAAGUCUGGCGCUUGCGCAUCCACGCGCUGGCCUGCGCUCAUUGGGCCAACCGGGGGAGCCCGGAAGCCAGGCUGUUGCUGCUGCUGCUGCCGAGCGGCUUUCCUCCAGACCGCGGUUCCAGCCCUUGGCCAGCCCACCCGAGCGAGUGCCGCCGCUGCAGCGGCUGAUCAUCAUGCUGUCGCUGAGUCCCUCCGUCUUCUUGCACUGAGCCGUCCGCGCCGUGCGCAGUAGAGGAUCCACGCUGUGGCGCUUAGCAGCAGAGGUCCCCCUGCUGUGCCCAGCCGCCCGCUGGCCUUGGCUCGCUGCAAGCGCACCCACUUGCAGCCGCAGCAGCCGGCUGAGGCUGCGCGAGGUGGUCCGUCCAAUCACGCCAUGGCAUAACCGCUGACGGCGUGCAUUGAAUCCAUUGCGCUAAUGACGCAACAUGGCCGCUGCCCUCGCCAGCCUGCAGUGAGCCCCUGCUGCCCAGUCCAGCGGUGUAGAAGCUGGCAAACUGCCGCCAGCUUCUGCGCCGCUGCCCGAGGCCGCCCAGGGCUGCGGUCCAUCUAUUCUCGCCAGCUGGGUUCGCCUGGCUUUCGCAUAUUAAGGCAAGCGCCUGCUCCUGCCUCCUGUCGGCCCCGCAGCCUGCUGCCCUGUGCGCCAGACCCGUCCCCUGUCCCACCGGCCGCCAAUACGCUCUGCGCCAGCCUCCGAGCUUCCAGGCUCCCGUCCGCUCCGCUCCGCUCCAGCUCCAAUGCUUUCCAGCGCGCAGUUAUGUCAAGCUGUGCCAUAAUUCAACCCUUACCACUGCAGUCAGUGAGCAGCCCACCCUGCCUGCCCCCGUCCCAUCCCUGCCAACCCAAGGGCGUUGCGUUUGUCGCUCACCAUCUCCUCCAGGUUCUUGUUGAUAGGAGCAGGGAACUUGCCGGCCUUGUUCAGACCGGGGCCCAGCAGACGGGGAAUCUGCUUGAUGACGGAGUCCGAAGCCAGGAAGGCGUGGUACGCCUGGGCUGUGGGGCGAGGAAGGCCGUCGGGGUCGGGUUAGCUCACGUCUGGCAAUCCGCGCGCUCAUCAAAAUCUGAUACCACCGUAUUAUUAAAAGCAAUGUUGCGGUGAGUAUGUCGCACGGAACCGCCUGGCAACCCAGCCAUUCUCGGCCGCCACUUUCGCGCCUCCCUCAAGCGAUGCCCCAACUCACCCAGCUUCUUGACCAGCUUCUUGUUCUUGUUCAGCUUCUUCAGGUCCUCCACACCCUUGGCGUCGACGCCAAUGGCGCCGGCCUGCUCGCAGUGCUUCACAUCACCCAGCACGCACACGCGCAUGCGGGGGCGAGGCACGAAGGGCAGGCGGACGGAGCCGCUGAAACGCUUGUCCUUCUGGGGGUCGUAGUUCUUCAGACCAAUCUGCAGCUCCACGGUCUCCUGGAACUUCCGGGGCUUGGUCUUAGCCCCCUCCACCAGGGCU
rnacentral:lncRNA from 1 species